UUUUUUUUUUUUUGAAAGUAUUGAAAUUUGUUUUAAAGAUAAGCAGUUAUGUGUUUAAAUAAAAGUGCUGAAAUUGAAAAAAAUUAUUGAUGCAUUUGAUAAACAAUUGUUGUUAAGUAUUUUUUUUGUCAAAAUGUCUGAAAUACCCUUAAAGUUGUUAACAAUAUCUAGAGUUAAUUAUUAUUAAUUUUUAUUUCUAAAAUGAUUUAAAUUAAAAUUAAUAUAGAUUUUUAAUUUAGUUUCAAUAUAUAUAUUCACGAAUGACUAUUAAAUUUGUGCGCUAAAAAACCUUUUUUCUUGGUUAAAAGAGUUUAAAUCAUCAAGCAAUAUAUAUAUAUAUAUUACUAAUCAUUAUAAUUAUAUUAAUAAUUAAAUAGUUGGUCACAAAUGAUACUAUUUGUUUGAUACCAAUCAAGCCAAGGAUACACUUGUUCUGGGUUAUUUUUGAGGAAAAAAAAAGUGUUAUGUAAUAAAAGAGAAUUAGGCUACAAGGAUAAAUUUGGAAUAUUGAAUUAUAAGGGACAUAAUUGUUAUUUUGUAAGGAUGAAAAUUAUAUAAGUAUGAUAAGGUGUAUGUUUAUGGUGGUUGUUUUUUUCCUGUUGGUUUUACUAUUUCUCUCUCUUUAGCAACAACCCAUAGGCUUUUCUAGCGAGGAAGAGUAUGAGGACAUUUUUGUGGAUAACUUGGGCUUUCUCCUGGGCACCCGAUAGAUUCCUCAAUUUAUUGUGCAUGAUCAUGAUGUGACUUACAUAUCUCUUAUCACCAAUUCAACAACAACAACAACAACAAAUCCAGUGUAUUCCCACUUAGUGGGGUCUGGGGGGGUAAGAUGUACGCAGUCCAUACCUCUACCUCUGAUGAAGUAGAAAGGCUGUUUCCGAAAGACCCCCGGCUCAAGUCACGAGAUAUCACACAAACACAUAGUAAAGCACAGAAGCAGAUGACAUAACAUAGAUACGGCACCCAUAAGGAAUAUAAAACAGAGUAAAGCAGGAAUGCAGGGCACACAGAUUCGUAAUAAACAUGGAACACGGAACACGGAACACUGAAUACGGGAUCAUAACAGGAAUACACCCCCCCAAUUAAUUCCCUACCCUAGCGACCCGAACUGGCCCUAAUCCUCUGCCGUAAUUCGCAUCUUCCAGACCUUCCUAUCUAGGGUCAGGUACAUAAAUAAUCACAAUGUUUGAUAUGACUGUCUUUGCUUGAAUUGACUCUUAAAGUCGCAAAUUAUAUGUCAAGCACUAAUGAAUGGGCUGAGAAAAGACAGAAAGGGAGGGGUAUCAACUUUUAUCAUGUUUUCAUGAUAAGUGUAGUAGUAUCAAAUAGGCUUACUUCUAUCUGCCUUUAGUGGAAUAUAAAUUAGUGAAAUCAGACUUUCUAAAAAAGACCUACUUAAUGUAAGAUGCAUUCUAAAAAGACUGCUCAUUGUAUAUUGCAUUGGUGGGAGAUGCAAAGAUAAGCAGCCAGUGCAACUAGAUGAUAGGUAUAUAGCAGUCCAUAGCAAGCAUAAUAUUUGAUAUGAAAUUCGAGAACACUGGUCCAAAACAUAGAUUGUUGCCAAUAGUAAAGCAAAAGAAGGGUACUAGGUACUAAUAGCUGUGAGGCUAUUAUCAUGCAAGUACAGAAAUUGUCUACUGAUAAGUCUGUAAAUCUGUUCUGAGGCAGUUCAUUUCUUUUAAACCAUGAUAGCCAGUCGCCACACUUCUUAUUUCUCUUGGGAAGUUUCAGGCUUCUCGCUUCUGAUGUACCCUAGCUCAAUCAUCGCCUCCUUCAAGUCCCACUUUUUUUUUUUUUNNNNNNNNNNNNNNNNNNNNNNNNNNNNNNNNNNNNNNNNNNNNNNNNNNNNNNNNNNNNNNNNNNNNNNNNNNNNNNNNNNNNNNNNNNNNNNNNNNNNNNNNNNNNNNNNNNNNNNNNNNNNNNNNNNNNNNNNNNNNNNNNNNNNNNNNNNNNNNNNNNNNNNNNNNNNNNNNNNNNNNNNNNNNNNNNNNNNNNNNNNNNNNNNNNNNNNNNNNNNNNNNNNNNNNNNNNNNNNNNNNNNNNNNNNNNNNNNNNNNNNNNNNNNNNNNNNNNNNNNNNNNNNNNNNNNNNNNNNNNNNNNNNNNNNNNNNNNNNNNNNNNNNNNNNNNNNNNNNNNNNNNNNNNNNNNNNNNNNNNNNNNNNNNNNNNNNNNNNNNNNNNNNNNNNNNNNNNNNNNNNNNNNNNNNNNNNNNNNNNNNNNNNNNNNNNNNNNNNNNNNNNNNNNNNNNNNNNNNNNNNNNNNNNNNNNNNNNNNNNNNNNNNNNNNNNNNNNNNNNNNNNNNNNNNNNNNNNNNNNNNNNNNNNNNNNNNNNNNNNNNNNNNNNNNNNNNNNNNNNNNNNNNNNNNNNNNNNNNNNNNNNNNNNNNNNNNNNNNNNNNNNNNNNNNNNNNNNNNNNNNNNNNNNNNNNNNNNNNNNNNNNNNNNNNNNNNNNNNNNNNNNNNNNNNNNNNNNNNNNNNNNNNNNNNNNNNNNNNNNNNNNNNNNNNNNNNNNNNNNNNNNNNNNNNNNNNNNNNNNNNNNNNNNNNNNNNNNNNNNNNNNNNNNNNNNNNNNNNNNNNNNNNNNNNNNNNNNNNNNNNNNNNNNNNNNNNNNNNNNNNNNNNNNNNNNNNNNNNNNNNNNNNNNNNNNNNNNNNNNNNNNNNNNNNNNNNNNNNNNNNNNNNNNNNNNNNNNNNNNNNNNNNNNNNNNNNNNNNNNNNNNNNNNNNNNNNNNNNNNNNNNNNNNNNNNNNNNNNNNNNNNNNNNNNNNNNNNNNNNNNNNNNNNNNNNNNNNNNNNNNNNNNNNNNNNNNNNNNNNNNNNNNNNNNNNNNNNNNNNNNNNNNNNNNNNNNNNNNNNNNNNNNNNNNNNNNNNNNNNNNNNNNNNNNNNNNNNNNNNNNNNNNNNNNNNNNNNNNNNNNNNNNNNNNNNNNNNNNNNNNNNNNNNNNNNNNNNNNNNNNNNNNNNNNNNNNNNNNNNNNNNNNNNNNNNNNNNNNNNNNNNNNNNNNNNCUUCUCUUCUUCGUCCUUACUUCCUACCAAAUUAGCAUACGCCUCUUUCUUGGUCUCCACUUUCUUCCCCACCUCUUCAUUCCACCACCAAUCCCCCCGAUGAUGUCCGGCCCAGCCCCUAGAAACACCCAACACCUCCUUUGCAUUCUCCCUGAUGCACGUUGCCGCCCUGUCCCACAUAUUAUCCACGUCCCCCCUACACUCCCACACCCCCAUUCCCGCCAACCUCUCCCCUAUCUCCCACGCAUUCACUGGCGUCAAGCCGCCCCACUUAAUUCUCUUAUCACCAAUUAUUUAAUAGAAAAAAAAUACUCAUCUUUUUAAAUAUUUUAUGUGUUACAAUAAAGAUAUUCAGUAAAAAAAUUAUAAAGUUAAAGAACAUUUGUAAGAGCUACAAAAUCAAAUCUCUUCUACUUAACACAUUCAAUGAGAGGGGUGGACGUUCAGACCGUUCGGUUUGAAUGUUUGAUUUACGAAUUAAAAAAAUUACGUGUAUUGGAUUGGAUUCAAAGUUCAAUUUUGGAUUAAUCAAUUUGGAUAUUUUAGAUUUACAAUGUUGAUUUUUAAAGCUUUUAAGGCAGACCAUAACAAUUAAUAAUUCAUCAAUCAACCUAAUAAUUUAUUCCUUAUGUAUAACUUUCAACCAUCAAGAAGGAUUCAGGUCAUCCUACCACCCCUUUCAAUAUUGGAAUCAGAACUAUAAUGGAUAGGGUAGGGUGGGAGGGUACUAAUUUAUUAAAUCUUUAGAAAUUUGACUUACAAGUAGUAGAGACAUGUAAUAUGGGUAAAGCUGAAUAUAAGGCAUAAAAAUUUCGGAUUUCCGGGUAGCCGAAAGCAUAGUACUAAAACCAAUAUAUCCACAAAUUUUUAAAUAAUAAAAAAAAUCCAAAGUCCAAUCCCUACUCGAAAUCUAAACCAAAUGACCAAAAAGUUUGGAUUUCGGGUCAGCCCAAGCUAGAGCCACCCCACAUAAAUAUGAGUAUAUAAUCCGAUAGUUGACAUCAAAUUAUAACAUUUACCUUAAACUUUGACAGUGUACAAGUAGACCUUUUAACUAUACAAAACCUAAAUAAAUAAACACUCCGAUUUUUCUACGUGGAUAUGUAAUCCAAUCAUACGAUGUCACGUCAUUAAAAGAGCUGAUAUGGGAGGACUUUUGCCUUUCAAUUAAAACAACGUCGUUUUGCUUCUAUCAAUUAAAAAGACGUCGUUUUGCUUAUUAUUAUUAUUAUUAUUAUUAUUAUUAUUAUUAUUAUUAUUAUUAUUAUUAGUAUUAUUAUACUACUUCUACUUAUUAUUANNNNNNNNNNNNNNNNNNNNNNNNNNNNNNNNNNNNNNNNNNNNNNNNNNNNNNNNNNNNNNNNNNNNNNNNNNNNNNNNNNNNNNNNNNNNNNNNNNNNNNNNNNNNNNNNNNNNNNNNNNNNNNNNNNNNNNNNNNNNNNNNNNNNNNNNNNNNNNNNNNNNNNNNNNNNNNNNNNNNNNNNNNNNNNNNNNNNNNNNNNNNNNNNNNNNNNNNNNNNNNNNNNNNNNNNNNNNNNNNNNNNNNNNNNNNNNNNNNNNNNNNNNNNNNNNNNNNNNNNNNNNNNNNNNNNNNNNNNNNNNNNNNNNNNNNNNNNNNNNNNNNNNNNNNNNNNNNNNNNNNNNNNNNNNNNNNNNNNNNNNNNNNNNNNNNNNNNNNNNNNNNNNNNNNNNNNNNNNNNNNNNNNNNNNNNNNNNNNNNNNNNNNNNNNNNNNNNNNNNNNNNNNNNNNNNNNNNNNNNNNNNNNNNNNNNNNNNNNNNNNNNNNNNNNNNNNNNNNNNNNNNNNNNNNNNNNNNNNNNNNNNNNNNNNNNNNNNNNNNNNNNNNNNNNNNNNNNNNNNNNNNNNNNNNNNNNNNNNNNNNNNNNNNNNNNNNNNNNNNNNNNNNNNNNNNNNNNNNNNNNNNNNNNNNNNNNNNNNNNNNNNNNNNNNNNNNNNNNNNNNNNNNNNNNNNNNNNNNNNNNNNNNNNNNNNNNNNNNNNNNNNNNNNNNNNNNNNNNNNNNNNNNNNNNNNNNNNNNNNNNNNNNNNNNNNNNNNNNNNNNNNNNNNNNNNNNNNNNNNNNNNNNNNNNNNNNNNNNNNNNNNNNNNNNNNNNNNNNNNNNNNNNNNNNNNNNNNNNNNNNNNNNNNAUAACGUUAAUUUAAUAUACUACUACUACUAUCAUUAAUAACAUUAAUUUAAUAAUAUUUUAUUAUAACUAUAAUUUUUUAUUAUUAUUAGUAUAGUUUCAUCUUUAAUUUAAUAUUUAAAUAAAUUAUAUUUAGAUAUAUUAUAUAACUUAAAUUCUUCCUCUGCUUAUAUAGAUACUCGCGCUAUUUUUCCAUAUGAGGCUGACCCACCUAAUUAAGAAAACUUCAAUAUUGCUCUUUUUCUGCAAUGACAAAAGAAAUUAGAUGUUAUUAUCAUCAAUGAGCUGAAAAUAAUGAAAAAUAAUACAGAAAAGUCAUUUAAAUAUAUAAAAAGGAAUUAGUAAGGGCAUUAUAGUUAUUUUAUCAAUUUUUUACCGUUGAAAGGCUCGGAUUUAAAGCUGAACGCGUGACAUUUUGCCACCUAGGAUUGGGGUGUUUAUUUGUUCAGGUUUUGAAUUGUUAAAGGUCCUAUUUAUGCACUAUCAAAUUUAAGGUCAAUGUUAUAAUUUGGUGUCAAGUUUAGAGUGAUAUUUAUGUAUUUAUAUGUAUUAUGCCUUCACAAAAUCUUAAAAUCUUAUAUGAAGGCAUCAUGUCAAUCCAAUAAUAUACUAGCUGUAAGCAAUAAAAUAUUAUUUGCACAAAAUUCAUAUAAUAUUAAAAUUAAAAUAUAUUAAUCUCAAAUAAAUGUUGGAUAUUAAUAUAAUUGAAUUAAUUAUUUGAGUUCAAACAUGCAUGGAUUUAAUUAAAGUCCAAUUGUUAUUGGGCUAGUCCAUUAAUUUGGGCUAGAGAUAACUAAGCCCACUUUAGCAAGCCCAAGAUGUCAUCAUAUGCUAGAAGCCCAAUUUGAUGCCACAUGUCAAAUGACAUGGCAUGCCAAGUGAAGUGAAUAAGCCAAAGGGACCACGCCACGUGUCAAAAUGAUGCAGUAAAUGAAAAGCCCAUAAGAAAUGUCAUGUCACUUAAAUCUGAUUGGUCAAAGGAAGUUCAUGUUUAUCAUGACUCUCUACUUCCUACAACUAUAAAUAGGGGCCGCAUAAUUCAAAAAAAAAAAAAAACAAGUUUAACAAGAAGCAAGAGAGAGCUCAUGGAUCAAAGCAGCAGAUUUCUCUACAAAUUCAAGAAUUCAAGAUCAGUUCAUCAAGAUUCAAGAUCAAGAGUUCAAGGUUCAAGAACAAGCUCAAGAUUUCAAGAUCAAGAGUUCAAGGUUCAAGAACAAGCUCAAGCUUUAAGAUCAAGACUUCAAGAUUCAAGAACAAGCUCAAAGACCCUUGAAUUCAAGUACAAAUCGAGAUCAAGCUCACCAAACCCGCAAAUCAAGCUCAAGUUCAAGAUCAAGACCGCAAGAUUCAAGAACAAGCUACUAAGCCCUUGGAUUCAAGCACAAGUCAAAAUCAAAUUCGUCAAGUUAAAGUUAAAGUUCAAGAUCAAGCUUGAAGCCCUUUAAUUUAUAAUUGAAAAGGUGAAUCAGAGGAAUCAUAAAGAUUGUAACACUCACUUAUUGAAAUCAAUAAAUCGAUUGUUGCAAUGUUUUCUUGUCUCAAUUAUUAUUUUCGAUCUUGAGAAUUUUAUUGUCCAACAAAUUUUGGCACGCCCAGUGGGACGAUCUCUACCUCUCAUCUUAACUUUUCAUACUUCAAAGUUUAAAAACAACGAAAUGACUUUCAAUAAGGUCAAUUCUCAAUCAACUGCUUCCGAGUCUGCAGAUUCAAAGUUCUCUGCUGAAGUAAAAAACAUCCUUGGUGUUACUUUCGGAAGCCUCGAAGCUAUCACAAGAAGCAGGGCAGGCUUGCUUGGACAACAAACACAUCCAGUGUCAUCCGCUCCAGCUUUAAUUUUUGGAUCUUCAACCUCGAAAGGAACGAAGUCCAAUGUAAGUGCUUCAAAAGGAGGAAGCAGUGUGGCCGAAUUGCUGAAAAAGACUCUAGAUUUACUUGAGUAUUUCGGUUACAAAUACUCUGGAUCCAAGAGCGAUAGUCGUUCAACAAAUGCGUCAUCUCCACUUACACCACAUAAGCUAAGCACUUAAAAAAUCAACUUAUGUGAUAAUCCGUGUUACUCUCCAACAUCUCUGGUGAUCAUGCAAGCAAUGGUAACUGAUGCCUCGUCUAUGGAGGAACAACUUGCGAAUCUGACAAAGAUAAUUGAAGCCCUGACCAACUAUGUUCAGUAUCAAGAGGCUAGGAUUGAUAAGAUAGUGGAUAGGGUGAAAGGCUCGAUAGAUGGAGAAUCUAACCAUGUGCCGAGAAAAGCUCCAGAGGUUCAUGAGAUAGAAAAACCUGUGAAACAAACAUCAUCAACCAAAGAGGUGCAAGUUUCUGCUGAGGAAAUGAUCCCGAUUGGGCAAUUGAGGGAAUUUAUUGAAGGGACCCUCAAAGACAAGUAUGAUGUUGUCACCAAUUAUUCCCUUGCAUAUGCCAACCCUUACACUGCAAGAAUAGAUAGCCUCAAAAUGCCUGCUGGCUAUCAACCCCCCAAAUUUUAACAAUUUGAGGGCAAAGGUAACCCAAAACAACAUGUCGCACACUUUGUCGAGACAUAUAAUAAUGUUGGAGCUUACGGUGACUAUCAUGUCAAACAGUUAGUUCGUUCUCUAAAGGGAAACGUCUUUGAUUGAUAUACAGAUCUUAAGCCUAACUUCAUUGAUAGUUUGGAGUAAUUGGAACACGAGUUCCUAAAUCGGUUUUAUAGCACAAGACGUUCAAUAGCAUGAUAGAGCUGACAAAUACUCGAUAAAGAAAGGAUGAGCCGGUCAUAUACUUCAUCAAUCGAUGGAGAAAUGCGAGUCUAAACUGUAAAGAUAGGCUCAGUGAAGCUUCUGCAAUAGAGAUGUGCAUCCAAGGAAUGCACUGGGGGCUUCUCUACAUCUUGCAAGGAAUUAAACCAAAAUCCUUUGAAGAGUUAGCUACUUGUGCUCAUGACAUGGAGUUGAGCAUGUCUUCUGCUGGAAAGGAAGGAACACCUAUUCAUGACCCUCGAAGGGGAAAGAAAAAGCAAAAACCCAAAAGAUGGGGCAAGUUUGUUCCCAAAAAUGAAAACAAGGAGUCCAUGAAUAUUGAUGUGUCUCCUGUGAAGGUCACCACAAAGGUGAACAAGAAGCAAAGUGUGAAAAUAACAUCUGGAGCAUGUCCAAAUCAGAAAACUUUAAAGGAGAUGCAAGAAAAGGAAUAUCCCUUCCUUGAUUCUGAUGUUGCAGAGAUUUUCGAUGAACUCCUUGAGCAUAAGCUCAUUGAACUCCCAGAGAUGAAGCGUCCCAACGAAGCAGGAAGGACCAAUGACCCUAAUUAUUGCAAAUAUCAUAGGCUUUUAAGUUAUCCUCUGGAAAAAGUUCUUUGUCUUUAAAGAUAAAGUCAUAUAACUGGCAAAAGAAAAGAAGAUCUUCUUUGACGAUGAGACUGGUAGUUCUCAUCAAAUCUUUAUUACUUUUGGCUUGCUCGACCCAGUUCAAAUAUGUGUCGAAGAGCAUAAUGAGAAAAUAUUAGAGCCUGACAGGUCUUCAGUUGACGAAGGCAAUAAUGAAGGUUAAACUCUGGUGACGAGGCGCGGACGCAGGAGGAUGAGUCUGCGAAAAGAGUCGUCCAAGCAGCCAACCAGAAAGAGAAUGGUAAAGAAACCAAGGAAACAGAAGUUGGUUGAAUUCACAAAGAAGACGACGGUGAAGAAGCUUUACCACCAAAAACCUCGGCAUCUUAUGACUUUAGAGGAAUUCUUACCAAGUUGGUUUCAGUCUGCCCAAGUCAACCUUGAGGCGUCUUAUUUUAAUACUGCCAAAGCGAAAGCAAAGGGUGAGAAUCUACCCAUAGAGGUUCCUUCACCUUCCGAAAAGCUUACUAAAACUCUUGGCGAAGAGGCAUAUAUGUGUGAUACAAAAAUCACAUUCACAAAUAACGACCUUCUGCUUUGUGAGGCCCUACAUAACCGUCCCUUAUAUAUGGUGGGUCAAAUUCUAGGAAAGAAGAUCAAUAGAAUCUUGAUAGAUGAGGGAUCUGGAGUCAACAUCUUGCCUAUCGCACAAUGGAGGAACUUGACAUCGCUACUAGCGAAUUAGAUGAAAGUCGUAUAAUGAUCCAAGGCUUCAACCAAGGGGGUCAGAUGGCCAUGAGAUGUAUCAAAUUGGGGAUUCGUAUGGAUGAUUUUCAAUCAAAUCUAUUGGUGCAUGUAAUCGAUGCCAAAACUUUAUACAAUAUAUUGGUUGGUAGGCCUUGGGUGCACGGGAACAAAAUUAUCUCGUCUUCUUACUAUCAAUGCUUGAAGUACCUCGAAGGCGGAGUGAAAAUAAAGAUAGUUGCCGAUGAUAAGCCAUUUACUGAAGCUGAGUCAAAUUUUGCCGAUGCAAAAUUCUACUUAAAGAAUCAUGUUAUGGAUGACAAAAGGGUUGAUGCUGUCACCAAUACCAAGUGUGAUGAUCUUUCAGCCAAUAAUGUCGUGGUGACUAUUGAAAAGGUCGCCACCAAGAAGCCUCUAUCUACUUCAAAUGAAGAAAGCGUCGCCCUUAUGAAAAAAAAGGCAACUCCUAUUCUUCGCUACGUGCCAAAUGUAAAGAAAGAGAAAGAUCACCCAUCUGAUGCUCAAGAUAAUGUGCUAAAUGGGAUAACUUUACCUAUUAGGAGGAUUGACGCGAUAAAUCCAUCCUCAAGGCUAGCUGUGGCUCAAAACCCGCCACAAGAUAUAACACUCCCUACGAAGCGGACAAAGGAGGGCUUCAACCCAAAAACAUACAAAUUAUUUGUAAAGGCUGGAUAUAAUCCUAAUGAGCCAUCAAGGUUAGGUAAACUUCCAUUGGAAGGUACAACAAAGUAGGAACAUGAAGGCAUAGGAUACACACAACCACCUCCAAUUCGCAUAUCGAUAAGAAGGACGGUUAGUAACUACAUCACUGUAAAAGAGGAGUCUACCGCAUCCAACAAAAGGCCUUCUAUAUUUGAUCAACUUGGAGAAUCAACCGAAAGAACUUUUGUAUUUAAGAGUUUGGGUCCUCUAAAUAAGAAGAGAAGUAACAAGCAUCAGAAAAGUUAUUAAAAUAUGACAGUACACUCCUUACCUAAGAUUCAGAAGGAUUUCUAAAGUUUGAUUCCUUCUAGAAUGAAGCGACAGACAAAACUGGUAGUUUCAUACAACAAGGUGUUAAAAGCAAAGGCUCAUACUGUGGUUUAUACCAAGGAACAUGAGGAAGAUGAAGAAAGUGUUGGCUCCUCAUACCAUGUUACGGCCCAGAAUGAGAAUGAGGCCUCAUCUCAAAUAAAGGUUGAUGAAGAGAUGGAAGAUACUUUUUGGUGUCACCACAUAUCCAUCAACGAUGAUGAUCCUCAAGAGGAAGAAGAUGUUGGAGAUACUCCACCUCAACUUUAAUAAGGAGUGAAGGCCACAAUAGAUCCCUUGAAAUGAGUUAACCUUGGAACUGAUGAACACCCAAGACUAACUUACUUGAGUGUUUUUCUAGAGAUGAAGGAAGAAAUCGCGUAUAUGAAUAUACUCAAAGAAUAUAUGGAUGUCUUCACUUGGAGUUAUAAGGAAAGGCAUGGCUUAGAUCCGAAAGUAGCGGGCCAUCAGUUGGCGAUCAAGAAUGGUGCUCGUCUUGUUAAACAAGAUCAAAGGCGCUUUAGGCCAGAGUUGGUUCCAUUGAUUGAAAAUGAAGUUAAAAAACUCAAUGAAGAUAACUUUAUUCGUGAAGUUAAAUAUCCCACGCGGAUUUCAAGUAUUAUUCCAGUACGAAAGAAGAAUGGCCAAAUUUGAAUUUGUGUUGACUUUUAAGAUCUCAACAAUGCAUGUCCUAAGGAUGAUUUCCCAAUCCCCAUACCAGAGUUGAUGAUUGAUGCCACCAUUGGUUAUGAGGCAAUGUCCUUCAUGGAUGGUUCAUUCGGUUACAACCAAAUCCGCAUGGAGUCAAAAAAUGAAAUGCUCACUGCAUUUCGUACGCCCAAAGGUAUUUAUUUCUACAAGGUGAUGCCUUUUGGUUUAAAGAACGCUAGCGCCACUUAUCAAAGGGCUAUGCAAAAAAUCUUUGAUGGGCUACUCCACAAGAAUAUUGAAUGCUACGUGGAUGAUCUAGUGGUGGAGUCAAGAAAGAGAGAUAACCACUUAAAAGUUCUAAGAAUGGUGUUCAAGUUACUUUGAAGAUAUCAACUUAGGAUGAAUCCAUUGAAGUGUGCCCUCGGAGUUACUUCCGAAAAGCUUCUUGGCUUCAUUGUGCGACACUGCGGAAUUGAAAUUAAUCAAGACAAGGUCGAUGCAAUUUUAAAGAUGCCCGAGCCUCGAAACAUUCAUGAGUUAAAAAGCCUUCAAGGAAGGAUAACAUAUUUAAGGAGGUUCAUCUCAAACUUAGCCGAAAAAUGUCAACCAUUUAGCCAUCUCAUAAAGAAGGACACUCCCUUCAAAUGGGACUAAACUUGUAGUAAUGUCUUUGAGAGUAUCAAAUCAUACUUAAAGAAGCCACCAGUUCUUGCGGCGCCCAUACCUGGGAAACCACUGAUACUCUAUAUCGCGGCAUAAGAAAGGUCAUUCGAAACACUAUUAGCUCAAGAAAAUAGAGAAGGCAAAAAAAAAACUCUCUGUACUAUUUGAGCAGAAUGAUAACACCAAAUGAGUUGAAAUAUUCUCCGAUCGAAAAUUUAUGUCUGGCAUUAGCAAACACUACUUUUAAGCUCACGUUGUUCGUUUUGUGUCCAACGCAAAUCCCAUCAAGUUUGUGAUGUCGAAACUAGUCCUCAGUGACCGACUUGCAAGGUGGUACCUCCAAUUUUAGCAGUUUGAGAUCGUGUACAUCCCCCAAAAGGCUAUAAAAGGACAAGAAAUGGCUGACUUCAUGGCAGAUCACCCAAUACCUGAUGACUGGGAACUGAGCAAUGAACUUCUUGAUAAAGAUGCAAUGGCUGUUGAAGUUAGAUCCCCAUGGAAGAUGUACUUUGAUGGUGCUGCACAUCGAGAUGGAGCUGGUGCUGGCGUAGUGUUUAUCACUCCACAAGAAGAGGUCAUCCCCUACUCUUUUACCUUGAUGAAUCAUUCCUCCUAUAAUGUUGCCGAGUAUCAAGCGAUCAUACUCGGGCUAGAGAUAGCUAUCGACAUGAAGCAACUGCAAUUACAAGUUCUUGGUGACUCCCAAUUGGUGAUAAAAUAGUUGUUGGGAAGUUAUGAAGUCAGGAAGCCUGAGUUAAGACCAUAUCAUGAUUAUGCACGAAAUUUGAUGAGAUGGCUUGGAGAAGUAACCCUCCAGCAUGUGCCAAGGAAAGAAAAUAAGCAAGCUGAUGCCCUAGCUGCUUUGGCCUCAACUCUAACUCUUCCAAAUUAGACACGAGUUAUUAUCCGCCAAAAUGGGUAGUACCACUAUCAAAUGAGGAUGGGGACAUAAAAGGUAGGGUUGAAUACCUCGUCGUCGUUUCCAAAGCUGUAAAGAAAAAUUGGUGGCAACCUAUCAUCGACUACCUGUGUUAUGGAAUACUUCCAAAAGAUCCAAGGAGAAAGACUGACAUUCGUCGUUGUGCACCUCGCCUCCUUUACUACAAAGACACACUGUACAAAAGAUUAUUUGAAGGAGUACUCUUACGGUGUUUGGCAGAGGAAAAAACAAUCUAAGCCUUGAAAAAAGCACACUCGGAAGUUUGUGGAUCACAUCAGUCUGGACCAAAGCUCCAUUUUCACAUUAAAAGAAUGGGAUAUUAUUGGCCAACGAUAGUAAAAGAUUGCUUGGAAUAUGCUAGAAGAUGCAAAGCUUGCCAAUUCCAUGCAAAUUUCAUACAUCAACCUUCAGAGGUACUACACCCAACAGUAGCAUCUUGGCCAUUCAAUGCUUAGGGAAUGGAUAUUAUUGGUCCACUACUAAAAUCUUCUGCUGGACACCUAUACAUCUUGGCCACAACAGAUUACUUCUUGAAAUAGGCUGAAGCUAUUGCUCUCAAGGAAGUAAAAAAAAAUAUUGCAAACUUUAUCCGAGCAAAUAUCGUCUACCGCUUUGGAAUUCCUCAAUAAAUAAUAACUGAUAAUGGAAAGCCAUUUGAUAAUAAGCUGAUGAACAAAAUCUGUUAUCUCUUUGGUUUCAAGCAACGCAAGUCUUCUAUGUACCAUGUUGCCGCCAAUGGUCUAGCCGAAGCGUUCAAUAAGACUUUAUGAAACUUACUGAAGAAAGUUAUCUCCAAAUCCAAACGAGACUGGUAUGAGCGAAUGAAAGAAGCUUUAUGGGCUUAUAGGACAACUUACCAUACACCGACGCAAGCAACCCCAUACUCAUUUGCUUUUGGAGUUGAAGCAGUCCUGCCACUUGAGCGUCAAAUACUUUCUUUGAGAUUGGCUAUUCAGGAAGGGCUCACCGAUGAAGAAAAUGCUAAGUUGCGUCUUAGGGAGUUAAAAGCUCUUGAUGAGAAGAGACUGGAGGCUCAACAAAAUCUUGAAUGUUACCAAGCCCGGUUAUCUCGUUCUUUCAACAAAAGGGUUCGCUUAAGGUGCUUUCAAGUUGGAGAUCAAGUCCUUGCAGUAAGAAGACCCAUUAUCACUUUUCGUAAGUCUGGAGGCAAAUUCACCCCGAAGUGGGAUGGACCCUAUGUUGUACAAGAGGCAUAUUCAAAUGGAGCUUACAAGCUUGUCGAUGCAGAUGGUGUGAGGAUUGGCCCCAUCAAUGCCAAGUUCUUGAAGAAGUACUGUCCUUGAAGGAAGAUAACACUCCUUAAGGCACGAAUAUAAACUGCAUGUCCACUUCUGGCUCUCAAGAGUAUAAACUGUGAACGGAUUAAAAAUAAAAUGUCCGCUAGGUUGAAAACCUCGAAAGAGGCGGCCCAGGCAAAAGUUAGGAUGCAAAAUAAAUAAAUAAAUAAAAGGAAAAAAUAAAUAAAACAUUCACCCCAGAACUACGUUGUGACUUGAUCCUCUUCAUUGAGUUACGUAGGCGCUUGAAAUUUUAUUCUAAGUUCAGUUGCAUGAGUGUCAAAAAAAAAUAUAUGUUCCUCAUAUAAAAAAAUUCAGUCUUCAAGAGUCUUUUAACUUUAUAAAUCUCUAGACUUACAUCUCAAGUGUUGGUGACUCAAUGGGGGCAAACCCCUAUGAAGUAUAAGAUCCUUUGACAUAAAUUGAAGUCUUCAGAUUCACUAAGUCUUCAUGUUGGAGCUUUCAAGUUACCAUAUUGGAGCCUGUAAGUUCACUAAGUCUAAUAGUUAAAGUCUUCAAAUGACUUAUGCGUAUAAGUUAAAGUCUUUAAAUUUACUAAGUCUUCAUGUUGGAGCUUUCAAGUUACCAUAUUGGAGCCUGUAAGUUCACUAAGUCUAAUAGUUAAAGUCUUCAAAUGACUUAUGCGUAUAAGUUAAAGUCUUUAAAUUUACUAAGUCUUCAUGUUGGAGCUUUCAAGUUACCAUAUUGGAGCCUGUAAGUUCACAAAGUCUGAUAGUUGAAGUCUUUAAAUGACCUAUGCAUAUAGGUUGAAAUCUUCAAAUUCACUAAGUCUUCAUGUUGGAGCUUUCAAGUUACCAUAUUGGAGCCUGUAAGUUCACAAAGUCUGAUAGUUGAAGUCUUUAAAUGGCCUAUGCAUAUAGGUCGAAGUUUUCAAAUUCACUAAGUCUUCAUGUUGGAGCUUUCAAGUUACCAUAUUGGAGCCUGCAAGUUCACGAAGUUUGAUAGCUGAAGUCUUCAAAUGACCUAUGCAUAUAAGUUGAAGUUUUCAAGUCUGCCAUAUUGAACCUUUUAGAGUUUGAAAGUUGGAGUCAUCGGGUUCUUUGAUCUAUAAGUUGAAGUUUUUAAAUCCUUCAAGCCUUCUUGAGUUUACCUUCCAAUCUUCAUGAAAUUACCUUUUCUUAUGGCGGGGACGAAUAGUCACCCCUAUGCGCCAUAAGAUUACCAUAACGUUACCUUUUCUUAUGGCAGGGACGAAUAAGUCGUCCCUGUGCGCCGUAAGAUUACCACAAAGUUACCUUUUCUUAUGGCGGGGAUGAGUAGUCAUCCCAAUGUGCCAUAAGAUUACCAUAAAGUUACCUUUUACCUUUAUCAUAAGACUACCAUGAAGUUACCUUUUACCUUUUUCAUAAGACUACCAUGAAGUUACCUUUUUCCUUUUGUCAUAAGACGACCAUAAAGUUACCUUUUACCUUUUUUCUUAAGACUACCAUAAAUUUACCUUUUACCUUUUCUUAUGGUGGGGACGAGUAGUCAUUCUUAUGGCGUAAGAUUAUCAUGAAAUUACAUUUCUUAUGGCGGGAAUGAGUCGCACCAUGUGGUUAUAGCCUUUGCGUAAGAAAUAUUAUCUUAAGCAAAAGCUCGUCAUUCACCUACAAAAAGAUAGAAGAAAAAGAGAGAAAGGAAGUGUGUAAAGAAAGGACAAAAAAAUAUACCUUGCAUUUUAUGCUCGUUGACCCGAGAUGAAGCUACUGUGGAAUGUCUGAAAAAAAAUUUGCUUGUAGGGAACAACACAAGAUUAUGAAAGUUAAAAGUGAACAAACUGCAUUUAUAAGGGCAAAUAGGGCGGUGGAGGCAAUCACAGAUUAAAUAGAAUUAGGAGAAGAAUUAAGGGGGCUCCGAUAAAAUUGGAACAAACAAAAAGACGCCACUACCUAUGAAGUGAAUAAGGAAUUGCCAAGAAAGACAAUAUGCCACCUGAAUGUGCAAAAGAAGUGAAAGAAAAGUCAAAGCCCCAUUUUUUUUAAUUUUCAGAUGCAUGCAUUGGUUCAUGACUUUUUUUAUAUCAAUUAAUACUUCAAGUCUAGUCAAAGAUCUCGACAAGUCUUAAAGUAGGGGCACUUUGUAAGCAAUAAAAUAUUAUUCGCACAAAAUUUGAAUAAUAUUAAAAUUAAAAUAUAUUAAUCUCGAACAAAUAUUGAGAUUAAUAUAAUUGGAUUAAUUAUUUGAGUCCAAACAUGUAUGGAUUUAAUUAAAAUCCAAUUGUUAUUGGGCUAGUUCAUUAAUUUGGGCUAGAGAUGACUAAACCCACUUUAGCAAGCCCAAGAUGUCAUCAUAUGCUAAAAGCCCAAUUUGAUGCCACGUAUCAAAUGACGUGGCAUGCCAAGUCAAGUGAAUGAGCUAAUGGGACCAAGCCACGUGUCAAAAUGAUGCAGUAAAUUAAAACCCCAUACGAAAUGUUAUGUCACUUAAAUCUGAUUGGUCAAAGGAAGUUCAUGUUUAUCAUGACUCUCUACUUCCUACAACGAUAAAUAAGGACCUCAUAAUUCAAAAAAAGAGGAGCAAGUUUAACAAGAAGGAAGAGAGAGCUUGUGGAUCAAAGCAACAGAUUUCUCUACAAAUUCAAGAAUUCAAGAUCAGUUCAGCUUCAAGAUCAAGAGUUUCUCUACAAAUUCAAGAUCAGUUCAUCCAAAGAUCAAGAGUUUCUCUACAAAUUCAAGAUCAGUUCAUCCAAAGAUCAAGAGUUUCUCUACAAAUUCAAGAUCAAUUCAUCCAAGAGUUCAAGGUUCAAGAACAAGCUCAAGAACAAGCUCAAGCUUUCAAGAUCAAGAGUUUCUCUACAAAUUCAAGAUCAGUUCAUCCAAGAGUUCAAGGUUCAAGAACAAGCUCAAGCUUUCAAGAUCAAGAGUUCAAAGUUCAAGAACAAGCUCAAGAUUUCAAAAUCAAGAGUUCAAGGUUCAAGAUCAAGACUUCAAGAUUCAAGAACAGGCUCAAAGGCCCUUGAAUUCAAGUACAAAUCGAGAUCAAGCUCACCAAACCCGCAAAUCAAGCUCAAGUUCAAGAUCAAGACCACAAGAUUCAAGAACUAGCUAUCAAGCCCUUUGAUUCAAGCACAAGUCAAGAUCAAAUCCGUCAAGUUCAAGUUAAAGUUCAAGAUCAAGCUCGAAGUCCUUGAAUUUAUAAUUGAAAAGACGAAUCAUAGAAAUUGUAAUACUCACUUAAUGAAAUCUAUAAAUCAAUUGUUGCAAUAUUUUCUUGUCUCGAUUAUUAUUUUCGUUCUCGAGAAUUUUAUUAUCCAACACUAGCUUCUUCAGUUGACACAAACACCCUGCUAUUACUGCCAAAACCACAUAGGUAUAUAUAUCCACCAAAUACUAGAAGUCUUUAAAUAGAAACAACACUGCUUUCGCCUCAUAUUUCUAUCACUACCAAGUAUACAUUCCCUUGUUUUGCAGUACGACGGUGCUGUUAUGGCGCUACGAUAGCUGGCAAAUGAAGAAACAAAUUAUACAUAGAGGCACACCUUCAUUAAUAUGUUCAUCAAACUACAAGUUAGUAUCUGGAACACUCUACGAAUAAAAUGGUUCUCUCACUAGAUUCUGGACCAAACAUUACUGACGCCAGUAUUAGUACAAACUACAGCAAAUAUUGAGAACAAAGAGAUAACAAAUAUCCCAUCCUAUACUUUGAGGCAGACAUUGUCAUGCCAAUGCUUCUCCGCCUCCUCUCCUACUAUUUACAAUCCCGAUAAGUCUGCUCUUCUUCACUGGCUUACUCAGUUGAAAUACAGGAUGCCUGCAUAGCUUUUGCAUUCCUUUCCUUAAACUAAGCCUAACCACUGUAUUGUCAACCUCCUCCGUGUCGAAUCCCUCUUUAAACCUACUCUCUAGUGUUUGUCUUUUGUGAGCAACUGGAGAUGUCUUCACAAUGGAAUCGCAUUCCUCUCCAGCAUCACUUGUGCUCCUACAGUUCCAGAAUUGCUCCCCUGACUCGCACUCUGUACUGUCUAAAGUGUUACUUCUUGAGAGUUCACCAGCAGUUUGCUCUUCGUGAGAACAGACGUCCAGAACUGGUUCUUUUGUAAGUACUCCAUUUGAUUGUUUAGAGAGAUAAUCUGCCAUGCAACUGGAAAUGUUAGCACAUGGUGACUGCAUUUGGCAUGUCACAUGUGACUCUUCUCUUUCACGAAGGGUCUUUAUAACAAGUGUCUUAAGGAAGUUCAUUACUUGGACUGCAUGAAUCAGUGCGGUCAAAGGAUCAACCAUCUGCAAGAUUUACUAUCCAAAUAUUAGUAUAUAUGAAACACAAUCACCGGAGAGCAUACCAUAUCAUUCCCAAUUUAGACAUUUGGAUAAAAACUAAACAACCCUUUAAGUUCAGUUUCCGUCAAACAUGCAUUUGAGAAGAGAACAUAAUAAACUUCUGAAAAGUUCUCAAGUACCUGAGUCAUGUUAGGGGCAAAAACCAUGGCAAUAUUCCUUGCAUUCAUCUUGUUAUAACACUCAUUAUGCACAACGUCUGCCAUUAAAUUGAUUGCCCAGUCAAGCAGUCCGGCUUCAGUUGGAGGAAGUAAGCUCACUAGUUGGGUGCACUCUUCUUCAGUGUUGCAAUUCAUCACCUGCUCCGGGGUUAGGGAAUCUAGUACACCUGUAGGGAGCUCCCUAAACCAUGCCUGCAGUCAUAUAGAAAGUCUUGGCUCAUCAAUUUUAUAAGAGUGGUAAAGACUAUAUUUCUGGGCCAAACAGAUCGUCACUGAAUCAAGGGUUACAUAGAUAUUUAAGGGGUUUAUCUGGAAACGAAAAUAAAGUAUCCAUAGAAAGCUGUCUUGGUGUACUUUUCCAGCCCCUGUGAGAAGUAUUAUACAAUAAAUAAAGGCAGUUCAGAGAUAGCUUACUGGUUUUGUAACCAAAAGACAAACACAAUAACCACAAAUGGAAUUUACCAACCUGAGCACAGAACGAUAAGCCAUAUAUAUAUGAGACAACGAAACCUCUCUACGACAGAAGUUAUUUAAGUGUUCCAUGAAAGAACAGUAUUGACUAGCAUAAACUUAUAUAGGAUAUUGGACCAGAAGCUAUAAGUAAUGGAUUUUCCUCAUGUACGGAUAGAGCUCAUUGGAACUAAGAAACUAGAAUGCUAAUCUUUGCUAUCCUUUCUGUUCAAGAAGCAACUUUUGUUGUUGACCAAUUUCAUAAUUUAUUCACUUUCAAAGAUUGCACAAUAAUUCACUUUAAUAAUUUAGGCAGCUACCUAAACCAUGCCUGUAUACAUAUGGAGAGUUUUGGCUCACCAAUUUUAUAAGAGUGGGAACGACUAUAUUUCUGGGCCAAAUAGAUAGCCACCGAAUCAGGGUUACAUAAAUUUUAAGGGAUUUAUCUGAAAACGAAAAUAAGUAUACAUAGAAUGCUAUCUUGGAGUGCUUUUCCAGCCCCUGAAAGAAGCAAUUUAUAUGAUAAUACAAGGGCAAUGUUUCUCAAGAAAUCAAGGCAGUUCAGAGAUAGCUUACUGGUUUUGUAACCAAAAGACAAACACCAUAACCAUGAACGGUAUUUUUACCAAACUUAGCACAGAACGACAAGCCAUGUAUGAGCUUACUGUGAAACCUCUCUAAGAGAGAAGUUAAGUAAGCAUUCAAUCAAAGAACAGUCAUGACAAACAUAAAUUUAUAUAGGAUCUUGGUCCAGUGGUAAUAAGUAGUGCAGUUUCCUCAUGAACACAAAGAGUUCAUCGAGAGAAACUAAGACGUAAGAUAGUCUUCUUUGGACAAUAAUCUCAAGUAAAGAACCCAGAAUGCUCAUCUUUUUUAUCCUUUGUGUUCAAGAAACAUCUCCUGUUGUUGACCAAUUUCAUAGUUUAUUCACUUUCAAAGAUUGUACAGGGCCGAUGUACUAAACAAAAGGCUAAAUGCAUGUUACGUUUACAAUACAUUUAUUGAUUUUCCAUUCUGGCCCAGACUCAGGGCUUAUACACCAAAUCUUUGAUGCUGCCUAUUGUUUUUUCAAUUCGAUCUUGUAAUGGACUCCAGAGGUAAAAUAAAUCUGCCAUACAACAUUUAGCAUAACAUACGCGACAAUAGACUGGGAAAGUACUUUAACAGGCUAGGUAUAGCAAAGGUGGAUACUAAAAAUUGGGAUUUCAGUUUAAUUUAGACCUUCAUGAUCUUGCUAGCAUCUAUUCUAGUUAGUUUCAACUUGAAAAACUCAGCAACGAAUGGAGAUGGACGAAGGAUGAAUAUGUUAAAGCUACCUUAAUCAAUCCUGCCAAACAAUGAACAUCAAUUCCAUAUGGUACAAUGCCUCUACUAUUCAGCUGGUUCCUCACAGUUUCUCCUUGACUAUUCUCAGCAUUAAUCCGGAAUAUUCCUUCUACCUUCAACCAAAAGCAGAAAAGACUGCCAGUUUCAGCAUAUUUAAUGCUAAUAGCGAUAUUUUAGAUUUUUCAAGUACAGAGAAAGAACAAUACUUGAAGGCCUCCUUCAGUAUACAGACGACUCUGCAGCUCAAGAAGUAUUGUUGGCACACUGUUUCCUCUAUUGUCAUAUGAACACUGCAUUGACUGGACAGAAACUCCAAAUACACUUGCACUGCAAAUUACAAUAAAAAAUUUCAGCAUAAAGAAUCAGCACAAGAACUGAGCAAGACGAUAAUCUCAGGCAAUAGUCAGGUGAACAUGAGCAACCAACAGUAGCUGAAAAAAUAAAAAUCACCAAAUAGCAGUUUCUAAUGUUAAGAUAUUUAAGAGCCCUUAUGAUGGUAGAACAAAUUAAUAGCAAUACAAUCAUGAAACUCUUUCCAACAACAAUUGCUUUUCUAAUAAUGGACAAUAUCAAUUGGGCAAUUCUCUCUUCCAAGGUCCUAGACACGAAGGAAUACAGACAGCUAAUGCAUAUCAACUUCAACAGCAGGUUGAAGCAUGGAAGACAGAUUCAGAAUUGAUUUUUGGCCCAUCAUUAAAUCUACUAUAUCAAUAAAUCAAUCAACUAUACUCAAUCUCAAACUAAUUGGGAUUAACUAUAUCAAUCCUUUACCAUGUUUCCACCCUGUUCUCUCCAAUUUCACACACAAUUUGUUGCUCGUCAGCUGUAAGCUGAAUGGAGCAGCCCAGUAGACUAAGCUCCUAUUACGCGCAAGGUCCUGGGAGCUCAAGACAACAAUGGUCUAUUGUACACGGCCUUAUCAUGCAUUUCUGCAAGAGACUGUUUCAACAGCUAGAACGCAUGACCUCCUGGUCACAUGGCAACAACUUUACCGGUCAUUAAUGAAAGUGUAGCUUCCCAAGGAAGAGAAGCUUCCCAGAUCUGGGUAAGAUAAACUCACCUCGUUGGACAUUGAAUAUUCUAUUUAAUAAAAAGAACAGUAAUAAUGGGGAUGGAAGAGUAACCUUGCGCUAGGGACUUUACGGGGGACUUCAGGCUGGAGCUCAAUAGGCAAUCCAAGGAAGCCAUUGAAACGAUCAAAGGUGACGUGAGAAACAUGACAAACAUCAGUAGGCCAUCCAAUAUCCAUAUUAGCCACAUCAUCCCUAUCCACACUGCAAGUCACCAACGACUUCCUUAACGCCGUCACCAGAACCGCCAGAAUUGGGGAUUGAUUAUUCUCAUUGCUCUCACGUCUACGCUCAUCGCCCGAAACCCGAACCGGACUCAAAAACUCUUCUUCUUCCUCCUCCUCUUCUUCUUCUUCUUUAUUCACUUGUUCGUAAUCAUAGAGCGAGGAACAUCGAGGCGACAAGUCUAGUACUGUUGAGGAACUGGAAGCAGACACCCGACGGCCAAAUGUAUACGACUUAGAUCGCAAAAGCCGAGUCAUAAUUCUGAAAAUUUACAUGCAAUUUCCUAGAACAACAACUGGAAUUAUAUGGCUAUAUAUAUACAUGCAUUUAUGACGAAGGAAGAAUGAUGGAAGUGACGAAUGGAAAAAGGGGUUGCUUGUGAAUGAGAAGAAGAUAAAGGGGAGGGAGGGAAAUAAUAAGGACAUGAGAGUGAGUGAAUUGGAAUAGUUGUAAUGAGAGCGAUAGCGGGUGGGGCGUGGUGGGGGGGGGGGGGGACCCCGAAACUUUACCCCUUUACUGUCUUUUUGGAUUUAUAUGAUUUUCCGCUCGUGAAUUACCUGGAAAUGGCACCUAUAAUACUAACUCCUUUUUUGCUUUUGACACGACGGUGACCACCCUGCCAAGCUGCUUUCUAUAAAUUAGUCUGAAAUAAUUUUCAUUAUGUUUGGAAUUUACCAAAUCAGGUUCAUGUAAUUUGACAUUAUUCCUUCUAAAUCUAAAUUGAAGAAUACAUAAAUACUAGAGUAUUUGACACCCCUGGAUGGUAAACUGUAACAUCAAAAUUUUACUUGCACGACUAUUCCAUGUUUUUUCCUCCUCCCAUGUUUUCUCGCAGUACUCGUCACUACUCCUUUCCGAACAUUUUUAGUUGUCCCUAUAUAUAAUGACAUCUGCAUCUCUCUUCAAAAAUAGGAGUAAUAAAUAAAUUAAAGAUACCGUAUUUGAUCAUAUAUAAUUUCAAUAGAUUUGUAAUGAGUAAUUAAUACUAAAAAAAUAAUUAUUUUAUUUUUUGGAUAUAUAAAAAAUACUGUAAUAAAUAAAUAAAAAUGAAGUGGAAAGUGAUUAAUGGUACAAGUGUCAGCAGAAAAAGUUGAAGGAGGUGGGGUGGGGUAAAAGCAUAAACCAGCUCGGACACCUUGAAUAUCUAAGAAAUGUGAAGGCCGUGAAUAAAUAAAUAAAUAAAUAAAUGCAUUGACUGAGCAUACAACUAGCUGCGGUUGUAGUAAUAAUAUGAUAAAUUAAUGUGGAAUGAGAUAGAGAAAGGAAUGUAAGCCGCUAGGGAGCAGACGAACGGAAUCAGAGCAUUAAUCCCAUCUUCCCAGAAUGAAUGUGCAUACACUACCAUAUAAUUAAUGCGUACUCAUCAUAAUCAUCUAAUUAAAUCAAGAAUUAUAAUAUAUCAGGAUAAUUUAGUCCCCCAACCAAUGUAUGCAGCUUUAUCCCUUUUCUUCCUAUACUGGUGCUGCUACAGCGUAACUAUAUCUCUAUCUUACUUACAGGAAGAAGAAAAAAGAAGAAUUAACGUACGGAAAAGAGGUGAAAGAAGGCACAGUCGGAUUCUUAUUUUAUCUUACGAAGCAAAUCAGUGAAUACUAUCAAUUAUCUGUAUCAUUCAGUUGCUGUCUGCUGUUGGCAAAAAGGGACAAAGGAGUAUUACGCAACAUGUCACCCUUUCUUAGCAUAUGGUCAUUUGGCCAUGACAAGUGUAUUGGAACUUCUCCUUUCUUUUUCUUCCCCACGUUCGUUCAUUCUCAAUUUUCCAUAUUUGUUAUGUUAUGUUAAUCUCUACUACUUACUAGUAUAAUGCCUAUUUGUAUGCUAAUCAGAUUCUUCCCGUCAACUCCUACUCAAAAGUUUCCCUUUUGUCUUUUACAAGAAUCGUCCAAAAUCUUAUACAUUGAGUUACCGUUAAAAGAAUCUAUCAAAAAAUAAUUUAUUUAUUCCAUAAACUAGAAACUAAGAUUUGCGUAAAUUCUAUUUGUACGGUUGUAUUGAAUAGGUCGCUAUUGUUGUUGUUGAGUGGUCAAUAUACAAGAAGGGACUGAGGUGAAUUGGAUAGGAGUCAUGAUCGAACAUGAUGUUUGUUUGAUGGACCUAAUUAAAAAAAUAAAGUCGUGCCCAUGUCGUGAGCUAACUUUUAACAUGGUGUUAAGCUUUGAUCGUGCCAAAAUAUUUUAAACAGGAAAACCAAAACCCAGCCAUAUGGGUUUGUUCACAAGUGUAUAUUUAUAUCUUUACUAUGCGAUUCUGCUAACACUAUGUAACAGAUACUUGACAGAUAACAUUUUGGAAUGUUCGAAAGAAAGGGCAGAGAUAUACAUUUUUCAAACAAGAUAAAAUUAACUGAGGCUUAAUUAUGGCAAUGAAUUAGAUGGUUAAUGAUAGUGCAGGUUGAUGUUUGAUUUAAUCCAAAGAUACUUCACAAAAUAGUGUCACAUGAAGGCAUGUGAGAUGUCUCUCUCGGGACCCCUUUCUCUGUUUUUUACUCUCUAUUAAGUCACCCUCCUCUUUAAUUUGGGACCUCUUGUUGAUUUAGGACUGUUAUCCUCAUCAAUUCAAUGCUUCUAAAUUUGUACAUCUAGUUAUGUUUAUAUCAACCUAAUAACAUAGUUACAAAAGAGAUUUUUUCACCUAUUUGUAACAACUGAAUGUUUCUGUUUCACGAAAAUUUUCUUAAAAUAAUGUCUUCUAUAGACCUUUUUGUUUCUUUCUCAUGUCAAUCAAAAUCUUUAAUUGUACAAGAUAUCAAGAAUACUCGGAUGCACGUUGUAAGAGCUCUUUUGGGCCUUUAGGACUACCAAAAGUUUGGUUAUCAGCCAAGUUUCACUGAUGUCCAAAAAUAAAUUAAUUUUUUUUUUUAGUACAGGAAACAUUAAAAGCAUAAUAAUUUAACGUGGUUCUGAUAGAUAUGAUCCUAUGUUCACGGAGAAUGACACGCAUUUUAUUCACUGUGGGAAAACUCCAACUAUUGAGAUCUGAUUUCAGUGUCUUGGAUACUUUCUGGGUGUUAAGCACCAUCAAUUUUAGUGAUUUGUAAGAAUUUCUUUCCCAACUUCACAGAAAAUUAAGGUGAUGUUAUGGUUACACCAUCAAUGUCGAUUGUCUCAAUGUCUCGAUAAAGUAUUUGAAGUACAUUAAAGUGAUGAUAUCAUCGAAUGGCCUGUUCUGGUCUUCUCUAUUUUAUAGUAACACAUACGUGUCUGAACAAGAUUAAUGACAACCAACAGUACUACUAGAGUGUGAGAUGAUUAAUUGAGAUCAUUUUAUUUCCAUUAGAGUGAUAGUAUAAUUUUUAUACAUUGUUGAGUCAACUAAGAACAAACCAGAGAUAAAACAUAUAGGGUACAAUGUGAGUUAAUAACAAUCCCCCAAAAAAGAAAGAAGGAUCAUUGUAAACUUAUUCUAGAAUCAAUUAAAAAUUAUCAAGUGUAAUGCUGACGAUCCUAUUGAUCAAAACCCAAAUACAACAUUGAUCAUUCUGAUUAAAAAAAUAAAAGGUUUUAUGUAAUACCUUUCAUAAUCAUGCAUGAUGAUGUUAUAACUAGUGACAAGUGCCUGUUCUUGGAUAUUUAACCCCCAAAAAGUAGCAGUGACAUCAAUUAUAAUGGCAUUGGCUAACUUGCACGCACUUUAAACAAUUCUAAUAGUACUUAUAUUCACUACCUCGUAUAGACUAUAGAGACGUAUUUAAUUAUCUUAUCGAGCAAAACUUAGAUAAUUAAGAAUUUUGUUGCGGUUAGUGCGUGGGAUUUGAACUCUAGACUACUCCAAUAAUUUGCAACUUUAUUAACGGAUGAUAAGUUAGCAUGGACAGACUUAGAACAAAAUCUACAUGUUCAUGGUAAUUAAUAACUUUUGUCCAAAUAUAUGUUAAUUCUCACUAAAUAAACUAUAAAUAUUUAACACGAAACUCAAUUAUCAUAAACUUGAAAUGUUGAAUUCGUCUUCGUGAGUCACACCCCCAAGUGACAUCAUACUAUCCAUCAGUUGUAGCAACACUUCGGAUUGAUUCAUGCCUUCUUCCAUAACGUUGCAAACAAGCUAAGUCAUGCACUUUUAUUUGAACAGAAGGAGCUAGAGUACACUUGGAGAAAAGUCCCUUUGAAGCUACUCUAAGCACACACACAAAAGAAAAAAUAAAUAUUAUGAGUCAAAUAAUGAAUGUUGAAAAUGAAUUGAAUGAUAUAAAAGGAAGAGAACAUUGGAGGGGUUGGGAAAGUAGGUGUGAUUGUUACGUAAUCCCAACUAAAUCACCAACAAUUAACAUAGUCAUAAAUGGGCUUCUCAACCAAAUCCUUAGUUGAUCCAAUAUGCUCCCUCCGUUUCAAAUUACUUGAUCUUUAUUAAUUUAAAAUACCCCUCAAAAGGUUUUUUUUUUAUUGGACUAAUUUAUGUUUUAUAAUUUUUAAAAUUCUAGAUUAGAUAGUUUCGAAAAAAGUAAUAAAAUUUUCUUAAUUUGUUAAAAUGGAUAAAAUGAAAUGAAACGGAGGGAGUAUGUAUGCCAUGUGUCUUAAUUUAGGUUCUUAAGCUUUCGGUGAUAGGGGAUUAGGGUCUAGAGAAGAAUUAAUUAAGAGAGUAAACAAAAAUUAAUUUUCACAGAUCGCUUCGGAAUUACGUGAAGUUUUUAACUCUUUCUAUCCUUUUUUCCUUUUUGGUUCAUUGAAGGCACGUAAUAUUGAUUGUUGCCUUUUGUAUAAAAGCUCGAAGAAGACUUGUAUUACGAGCUAACUAGAUGGGCUAAAUUAAGGAGCAUGUGUUUCCACUAAUCAUAUAUAUGAUCAAAAUAGAAUUCUUUACUGUAAUUAAUUAUAAAACAUUCUCUAGUUCUGAUCCAAGAACUUGUUGGAACAAUUCUUAAUUUAGUCAAGAAAUGUGAACCUGCUUCACAACAUUCAUUUAACUUAUAACUUAAGCCAAUAUGCAAUAUGCCAGGAAUUUGUCAAAAUAAAAAUGGAAUGAUGCAUUUUGGAUUUUUAUUUUAUUUUUUUUAAAAAAGGUUUAGGUUUAUACAGGAUGGUGUAAAAAAAAAAUUAAACAAUCAUGUCAUUAAUUUAUAAGGUGAUUAUAAAGUAAGUAUCUAUCUGAUUUCGUGAGGUGAGCAAAUUAUACAGGCGUCAUUAAUCGAUUUGCCCAAUACAAUAUUCAAAUCAUUCUAGCUAGUCAUUACUCAACCUCAAUUGACAAUGAACAAUUUAUGAAUAUUAGAUAAUAUUGUGUGAAAUAUAAUGUAAAUUAGUCAUAGAAACUAUCAAGAAUAAAACACCUAAUAAAAGAACAUUAAAUUGCAUGCAUUGUCUUUAAAGUUGACAAGUCUUUGUUUUUGUCCUUUUAACAAUUAAACUUAUACCUGGAUAUGCAUAAGUUCUUUAAACACUAAAGUCAUGUGAGGCAUGACCUAAAUAAUAUUAUGAUACAAAAUUAUAUAUUUAUAUUUCAUGAUAUAUAUAUAUAUAUAUAUAUAUAUAUAUAUAUAUAUAUAUGUUACAAAAGACAUAAGUUAGAGACCACACAAAUAACAAAUAUGGAAUAUAAUUGUAAAUGAUGGAAUAAGGAUAUUAGCAUGUUUAGUCCCUCAAAUAUCAAUAAAUUCAGAUUUGGUCCUUGUAAUUUCUAAUAGACAUGCACAUUUAACAUUCAGGUAUAUAUAUUUGCACUUUUGACCCACGGUGAAUCUUCACCGGUAGAGGUGAUCGUUCGAUAUUCGGUUUGGUAUUUAUAAAUUAUGAAUUCGAUAAUUCGGUAAUCGAUAAUUAAAAGUAAAUAUUAAAUAUCAGAAUUUUAGAUUUCGGUUCAGUAAUUUGGUAAUCAGUAAAUUAAUUUUGAUUCGAUGCGGUAUUUGAUAAUACUAUGUUUCUAUUUUAUCAAACUAAAUGUUUGAAAAAUCAACCUACUCACAGUAAAGGCAACUACAAAUGUAAUCAAGUAAACAGGGUUAGUUUGGUUGGAGUUUUUGACUAAUGCUAUUGUAAAGCAGGAGUGAAAAAUAGAGGGUGGACCUUUUGACCUUUGAACUUUGGACUGACAAUGGGUCAAUUAGAUCUAUUAUAUAUGUACGGGUUGGACCUUUAUUUAAUUAAUAAUUAGGUGUUUGGUAAAUACCAAAUACAAAAUGGUAUUAAUAUGUUGUAUCGAAUCCAAAUUUGAAUACCAAAAUUUUAAAACUUAAAUCCAAAAAUUGUAUCAAAUACUGAAUUAUCGAAUACCAAUAUCAAUUUUUUUGGUUUGAUGCAAUAAUCGAUUUUCGAUAUUUUAUGUUUAACCCUAUUCACCAAUGUAACAAGUCACUAAGUGUUAGACUAUUCAAUUUAUCAAUAUAAUAUGUUAAAUUUAUAUUAGGGAUAAUACCCACGUAAAUAUCUGAACUUUGACCAAAUUUCCAAUGGAGCAUACUGAACUUUGUGGGGGUUCAAUUACCCCCUCCCCCAACUUUUUUUUUUUAUAUUUUAAUGGCAUAUAUCGACCAACUUUUACACAUGUGUGUGUUCACCGACCUUGAGCGCGUGAGAGUGAUUAAAAAAAUGUUAUAAACCUAUUUUUUUGACACGUAACUCUAUAUAUUUGGGUUAGAUUCAUUUAUUCCUUUAAUUUAAACAAUUUAAGGAGAGGUAAAUCUCCUUCUUCUUCUCUACUCCCUUUUCCUCUCAAUUCUUGAAGAUAUGCAUUGAUUUUCUUUGUUUUCUUUAAUAAAUUUCUGACUAUUUUCUAACUUCUUCUCACUAAUUUCUAACUUCUUCUCAAUAUUUUCACUAAUUUUUAACUUGUGAUUUUUGAAAUUAGGGUUAGCUAUGGAAGUGUAAGUUGGAUUUGAAUACGAUUUGUUUAGACAAGGAAGAUCCAAUAUUGAAUGCAGAGGUGCGAUGCAAUCAUGGUCUCUUACUCUAUUUGAAGACUUCUUGGUCCGAUAAUAAUCCGGAAAGAAGAUUUUGAUCUUGCCCUUAUUAUGGAUCAAACAAGUGUAACUUUUUUCUUUUGAGGGAUGGUGUGGUUGAUGAACGAUCUCAGUUCAUUAUUCUAAAGUUGGUGAAGAAAGUGAAGGACAUGAAUGAAAUGUUGAAGAUAAUGAAGACGAAGGAAGAAUUAGUUGGUGCUUACAGUGAUAGGGAAAUAAUGGAGAUGGAAGCUGAAUCUGCAUUCACUCAAAUAGAAGAAUAAUGUAGCUCAUUUGUUAAGAUGAAAGAUGAGGUGAAAAAUACACCACAGAAGACGAUUAAAGUGAAGAAGAUAGAGAGUUUAGUAGUAUCCUCAUGGUGUGUAUCUUCAUAAUGUGUAUUGUUACAUGGUUCAAAAUAGCCGGUUGAAGUAUAUUGUGUAGUUUUAUAAUAUGAAUUUAUCGUUGGAAGUAUUUCUUGUAUGGUAUGGUAGUUUGAACUUGAUUCUCUUAUGACAGUGUUUCUUGUAUGGUGGUUGAAGUUGAUUUUGUUGAAUGAAAUCUCUUAUUUCAAAUUGAUUGUUGGUUUUGAGUACUUGUAUGUUUUGUUCAUUUUGUUGAACUAAAUUCAUUAUACCAAAAUUGAUAGAAAAGAAAGAAUACAACCACAAAGGAUAGAUACAAAUUUAUAGAUCCCAAUAUUCAAUACAGUAGAACAAAAUCAGUGCAUAACUAUUAGAGAUGCAACUUGAACUUUCAAUUGCAACAUAUACUACAAAAUAACUGCACAAAUGUCUGAGAUGCAACAUUCAAGUGUAUCAUAAAACCUUCACAAAAAAUGAUCUUCUCAAAUAACCUACCCUAAUUUACAAUACAACAUCAGUUUUAGUGUAAAAAACUAUCAACAUUUUAAAACUACUUUCAUUGUUACUUGGAUUGUGAUGAAGCCAUUUUCUGUCUUUUGUUCCUUCUCAUCUCAUCUCUCAUCACUUCAAGCUGGUUUCCAGUCAUUACUUUUUUGCCCCUCCACCUUACUCUUAUUUUUGGUUUGUAACCAAGGUUCCCAGUAAUAUCAGCAGAUCUUAUAGGAUGUGCAGAACUAGUAUGUAGUAUCCUAUUACUUGGCAACCCGGGCUGCAGACAAAGAAAGAAAGAAAAUUUUAUACGUAUAAACCUCUAAAGACAAAUUAAACUUAAAUUAAAUCAAUUAGCACUUACAUUAUAUGUUGUGAAACUAUUUUCAGCAAUCAAAACACUCAUUUCGACUAUCUUUGACUUUUUACCAGUUGAAGCAUGUGGAUUUGUUGGAGUAUGAACAGGUGAAGCAAAUGGAUUUGGUGGAGCAUAAACAGGUGAAGCAGGUGGAUUUGGUGGAGCAUAACUGGUUUGAUUUUCAAACCACUCAUGCAAAAGUGGUUUGAUUUUCAAACCACUCAUGCAAAGGUGUUCUCCUUCCCACUCCUAUGUCACCAAAAGGUGUUUUUUUUGUCCUUCCCCUACCUUUUACAGCUACUGCAGCUGCUACAGCAUGUUCGACACCCCCUUUCCUUUCUCUUGCAGCUGCUGCAGCAUGUUCAACACCCCUUUUCCUUCCUCUUGCAGCUGAUGCAGCAUGUUCAACACCCCUUCCCCUUCUUCUUGCAGCUGUUGCAGCAUGUUCAACACUCAUUCCCUUUUCUCUUGCUGUUAUUGCAACAUAUUCAACAUGUUUAACACCCCUUCCCCUUCCUCUUGCAGCUGCUGCAGCAUGUUCAACACUCUUCCACAUUCCUCUUGCAGCUGCUGCAGCAUGUUCAAUAUUCCUACCCCUUCCUCUUGCAGCUGCUGCAACAUGUUCAACACCCCUUCCCCUUCUUCUUGUAGCUGCUGCAACAUGUUCAACAUUUGUAGCUGGUGCAACUUGUCUAACUGGUGAAUCAGGUGUUGUCUUUCUAAGCCUUCCCCUAGGUCUAGGAGGUGCAUCAGGAUUAUCACUUAUUUUUCUUGGCCUUUCCUUAGGUCUAGGAGGUGCAUCAGUAGUAGUAGAAGGAGUGUUUAUUGGCCUCCCCUUAGGUCUUGAAGUACUUGGUACAUCACUUGAUCCAACAUUAAGAAUACUUGAUCCAACAGAAUCCUACAAAAAUAGUUGAAGCAGUCACAAAUUCAAAAAUAAUUAAGCUACAAAUAAAUAAUAGAAGUCGUUUAAAGUUACACACCUUGAAAGGACAACCUCUUUUGUUGUGAUUUUGUCCAUGACAGAUGCUACAAGUCAUGUAAACUCCUUUUCUUGACAUCUUUCCACACUUUUUGGUCUCAUAAAACUGUCUAUUCCUUCUCUUCUUUAGCCUGCCAGGCAUAGGAACAACAACCGGUGGCUCAACAUGAGGAUUUGUUAACUCUGGCCAUAUGUUCAUGUUGGUCACUGGUUGAAUGUAAUGACAGUAAGUCUUAAGACAAGUCUCCUUAUUGUAACAGCUAUCAACAAAAUUAAUUGGAUCCAAUUUCUUGUAGAGUAUGGCUGCAGUCCCAUGUGGAUAUGGUAUUCUCUUGAGCAUCCAAGAUUUAUAGUUGCAUGUGUUAUCCCUCAAAUCCACACUAUGUAUAUAUGGUCCAUCCGAUAUUUCAAAACCUCUCUCUUCAUUGAAGUCAAUAUUACAUGUCAUUGACUUCUCAGUGUUUUUUUCUACCACUCUCAAAGCCAUUGGAGAUAUUUCAGUCAUCCAUGUUUCUGGAAAGUUUGGGAAUUCACCUAGUCUAGUCAUUACCUUCACCCUUAUCUCUUCUAGCAUAGUAAUAAUUGUUUUAUGCCUUGGUCCUAAGAUCUAAGCAUUAAAGCUCUUAGCCAUGUUAUUAUCUAUGCUAUCACACUUAAUUUCAGUUCUAAAGUAAUUUUAUACCAACUUUGUACCUUGUAAUGAAGUAAAUCUGAAAAAAUAUCUUCACCACCUAGCAUGGCCAAUUGGUUCAGAUUUUUCUUCAUUUCAGAUUCAAAGGUGCUUCUUGCAUAUUUCCAGAACUGGUUUCUUAUUUGAAGACCUCUCCAUUUUUUUUUCAAUUGGCAAGGAUGUGUCUUGCACACAUCCUAUGCUCCACCCCUGGUAAAAGCUCCAUCAAUGUUGCUCUAAGAUCCUGAAAAUCAGAUCAUAACAAAUUACAUAUUCAUAACUACACAUAAUAUUCAUUACACAUAACUAAAUAAAUAAAAAAGUAUACCUUUUGCAUAUCUGAAAUGAUUGUGUUUGCAUAUCUGAAAUGAUUGUGUAAUCUCUGCCAUCUGUUAAUCCCAAAUCCUCUAUCAACAAUUUCACAAACCAUGUCCAUGUGUUCUUAUUCUCAUACUGUACUACAACCCAAGAAAUAGACAACAUUUGAUUAUUGUCAUCUUUAGCCACAAUGACCAACAACUGUCCUUUGGUUACUCUCUUCAAGAAAUAUCCAUCUAAACCAAUACAUGUUCUACAACCAUCCAAAAAAGCUUUUUUGCAUGCAUCAAAACAAAUGUAGAAACUUUGAAAAACAAGCUUACUACUAUCAUCAGAAUCAUCAACUUUCACAACACAAGUGGAACCCAGAUUGGACCUCAACAUUUUAUCUCUAUAGUCAAAUAUUCUUCCAAACUCUUUCAAAUGAUUACCCAUUAAAUCUUGAAGUAUUUUACCUCUAGCUCUCCUGGCAGUACUCUUUCCAACAUGUAUACCCAAUUCUUUUCUAAUCAACUGUUGGAACUGAAAUAAUUUCAUGUUUGGCUGCUCACUAAUUCUAUCUUUGAAAUGCUUAUGCAGGAAUUUUGCAUUACACAUGGAAUUUCUAGUGGUUUUGAUACACCUAUGCUUAGGAUUGUAGGUUUUAAUUUGAAAUCAUCGGUAGACUUAUUAAUACUUGUAUAUAACAGCUAAGGACACCCUUCCCUACAUCUAACCCUAACCUUUUUAGACUUAUUAAUAUACUUCUCUAACUUAACACCUCUUUGAAGUGUAUAUUUUGUAACAACAUCUCUAAACUCAUUCACAUCCUCAAACAACAUGCCCAAUUGCCACACAACCUGUUUUACAGAAUCAUCAUACACUACCUUUCUACUAUCUGUCCUUCCUAACCCAUCUUCUAAAUCAGAGUCCACACUAUAUUCAUCAGAACUAAAAUACACAGGCUCAUCCGCAGCAACUUUACCUUUGAAACUUUUAUCAGCAAUUUCUGUCUCCUCAAAUCCUAGAUCUGGACCAACUUCACCAACAGAAACUUUUGUAAGGUCAUUAGGUAUUCUUUCUCUUCCCUUCAUCCUCUGGUAUUUCUUUCUUUCAGCCCUCAAGUUUAUGUCCUCCUCGUGCACAACACUUUCAAAUUCAGUACCAUCUUCAAUAAAUAGAUCUUCAUGGUCUAAAUUUAAGCAGUUUUCAGUUGAGAGGUCAGAAACAUCAGUUUUUGCAGCCUCAAAAGUAGCUACAACUUCACUACCAGCUGCAGUCUCACCACCAGAUGCAACAACACCACUAAAUGAGGCCUCACCAGGUGCAGCCUCAGCAGUAGCUGCAGCUUCACCACCAACUGUAAUAAAACCAGUAGAUGAGGCCUCACCAAGUAGAGCCUUAUUUUCAAGCUCAACAUAUGCUGCAGUAGUUGGUGCUUCAUUAAAAUGACCACCGUCAACCCCUUUUUCAACAACCCUAUCCUCUUCAUGGACCCUCUUGUCACCUUCUUUCUUAAAAGCAACAAAAGAUUUCUCAUUGGUAGUAGUGUAUUCCAGCAAACCAAUGGGACCAUCAACUUGAUCAAGUUGAUCAACCAUGUGACAAACGUACACCUCAACAAUAUCCCUAUUUUCAAAGGAUUGUGAAAGUUCAAAAAUAUCCUCAUCACUUUGAAAAGAUAACAGAAAGUCCUUUUUAGGUGGCCUUAGAUAAACCAUGCACCUUGUUGUAGCAUACCCUAACUCUUUUUAAAAAGCCAGUUAGCUCAAAAUAAGAUAAUUUAUCCACAUUCACAUCAAAAAUAUAUGUGACUUCACUACCCCUUAAUCUGAUUUUUUACUUUUACUAUUCAAAACACCAAUAUGAAAAUAUCUCAGGGUUAUAUAUGUAAAAUCACCCAUUCCUGAAAUUUAGUCACAUUCAUAACGAGUUAAAAUUAAGAAAAAUUUAAUUAUUCAAACAUGCAGUAAUUAGUCACACAUGAAGAGUCAAUUUAGAUUACAAAAAAGCCCUAACUUAUUGAUAAAAAUAAGAAUGAUUUAGAAUAGCAAAAAAUCCUAAAUUUAAGAAAUUAUGAAACUACAGACUUGUUGAACAAUAACCCUAAAGAAAUUGUCAUAGAGUUUCAAUUUUUAAGUUUAGCAAAGCUAACCUUCAAGACUUGUUCAACACCAAGACUCUCACAACUCCCAAUACGAAAUCACACCUCGAGGAACACCCGAGCAGUUGCUAACGUUGAUAUUACAAGUAAUUUUUUUUUAAAAGAGUAGUGUAAGUGAGAAAUGAGGAUUAAGAGUGAAAUAGAUGAUUGAAAAGGUAAGAGUGAAAAAGAUGGUUAAAAAGGUGAGGUGUUUGUUGAGUAUAGAGAAGAGAAGAGAAGAGAAGAGGAAAAAUCCGUUUUUAUUUAUUAAUUAAUUUAACUUUUAUUACAUUUGUGGAUAAGUAGGACUUAAAAUAAAAAUUAAAUGGGAUAAUUAUUAUUUAAAUGGGCGCGUGUAUCCACCGCUAUUGGGUUGACUGAGUAUGUGUAAAAGUUGACCGAUAUAUGCCAUUAGAAUACAAAAAAAAAAAGUUUGAGGGAGUAAUUGACCCCUCGUAAAGUUCAGUAUGCUCCAUUGGAAAUUUGGUCAAAGUUCAGGUAUUUACAUGGGUAUUAUCUCUUUAUAUUAUUACUUUGUAUUUGAGGAUGAUAUAGUUCUAGAUGUACUCUAAAUAUCACAUUUACCCGAUACAAAUGAACCAAAUAUACAUAGUUUGAUUCAUGAAAUAUUAAAUAUGCUUAGCCAUAUAUACAAGGACAAAAGUCAUAUCAAUAAUAGAAGGACCAAUGAUGAAAUUAUCCCUCUUUCGAAUGCAAAACAAGAUUUGCAAGUUUGGCCUCAAUACAUUGUUCUUGUACUAGGCUUUUUUAUAUGUUUCUUUAAUCCUUAUAUAAUCUCCCCUCGUGGCAGGGGUGGAUUUAGGAGAGCGUGAGAGUGUUCAUCCGAAUCUUUUCAAUAAAAAAUUACAGUAUAUUCUUAUUCGAAUCUUUUCAAUAAAAAAUUACAGUAUAUAUAUAAGAUAUAAAUUUUUUAUAUACAUAUGUAGAUUAUAUAGAUUUCGAAUCUUAUGAGAGAUUCCAAAUUCUAAUCUCGUGGUAUAAAAAUAUUUUCAUUUCCAUCCUGAAUGUUGAGUUUUAACUUAUCACGACUCAAAUGCUAACUAGGUAGGAGAAACCAAAAUAGUUUUUUUUUUUCUGAAAUAAUAAUAAUAAUAAUAAUCUAAAGGGUCGUAUUUUCCCUGUAAUCUGAACUCGAUUUGGUUAUAAAAUUAAUUGAUAGAAUCUAGUUUGUUGUGCCACUUUAUCAAGGAACAUUUUUUUUUUUUUAAAUAUAGCUUGAUGUAUAAAAACUCCCGCUAUUUGCAGGAUCAAGAGAAAGACCGAACCAUAAGGAUUUAUCGCGCAUAGUCCAACCUCACAUUUCUGUCUGAUGCACAUACUAAUUGCAUAAAAUAUUUCGAUUUUAUCACAACUCUUGCAUGUUUGGCAUCAAUAUUUCGUCAUUCUUUUACCUGCCAUAUUAUAGUUUUAAUAUUCAUCAAUUUUGUCCUAUUAUCUACAAGAAGUCCAAAAACUUGAGAGGUAUUAGUGAUGCUAUGUACCCUUGAAAUUCCUGUUAGGUUAGAGCUGGAAAUUAAUGCUAGUAUGAAAGGAGAAGAAAAAUGCAGUAGUUAUCUUUUCCUAUUCGCAACAUUAUCAUAUCAUACCUAGUGACGACCACAGUUUUCUUUUUGAAUUUUAAAACUUAAAAACUAAGAUUCAAGAAGUAUAAAAUUCAAAUAUAUAUAUUGAUGAGAUCGCGUAAAACCAAAGAUGUAUUUCCUUACGUGGUUUCACAACUGUUACCUUCCUAGUUCUCAUUUCACGAUGUUGGAUUUUCAUAUCAAAUUGAUGAGGCUCUAGAUGUCCUGUCUUGGACGUGAGGGGUUGUGAAAGAAUCUCACGUUAUGCUUUAAAUAAUGAGUUGUUUUCUUAAUAUGGUGUAGAUGCAAUGCUCACCCAUUGAACUAGUAUCUAGGAUUGAAUUUGAUUCAAAAUUCAUUUUUUCACACAUGUGAAAUUGAUUCUUUUGCCAUUGAUAGUCAACCACCUAAAUUUUUCAGUCUAACUAGUCAUAACUCAAACAAGAUUUUGACUAAAAUGAGCUCAUUUUCAGGAGAAAAGCAUGUCAUAGCGACAUAAUGUAUUGAGAAAAUGUAUCACUAAUCCACCUACGAGAAAGAAAUAUAUAGGAAAAUAGAUCAAUAGCCGGAAAACAAAUUAAACCUUUUAUUGUAGUGGUUGGAGUAGUUUAGGACAAUUAUAAAUCUCUAUGUAAUUUUCAUACAAUGAAUGUGGGAUAUCGUAUUCUCAUAUUAUAAUUUCAAUUUUUUUUUUGGAUGAAUUUACUUAUCUUCGAAUAAUUAGAUUGCUUAUGAUUGAUCAAAACAUGUCAUUUAGAAUACUUGGCGGUUUUUGAUUGGUUCUUGAAUUUGAUUGGAUUAACACAUCAUUUGAAUAUGUGACAUUAUCUUGUUGGUCUUAAACUUGAUUGGAAUGCCAUGUCAUGACUUGACACGUGACAUGAACUUUGGACUUGUAUUUAAUGAAUAAGCUUAUUUAAUCAUUCGACCAAUUGAAAAUGCAUUUAGUCCACAAAUUUCGUAUGAAUUUAAUCCCAAAAAAUUAUGUGUUUGCAAUACCAAAUUAGUCAUUUCACAAGAUAAGACUUUUCAUUAUUAGCUAAUGACGGAGUUAAUGAUAGGAUAUAACAAAAUUUAAAUAACAAUCAAAAUAAGUAGUAUAUUUAAACUAACAAACACAAUAUAAUACUAUAAGUAACAACCACCCAAACAAGAAGAGAAAAGAAACUAGAUAUCGAAAGUGUCACUUGUGCUUAAUUAACUAGGUAAAAGACAUUAUUGAUCGCUCCCUUUGAAGAGAAACGCCAAAAAUGAAUUUGAAUUAUUCCAACAUAGUAAUCACAAUAAUUUCAUUAAGUUCUAGAAUAUUUAAAAAUAAGUGUGGGGACAAAAACAAAAAGAAGAAAAUCAGGUAUAGUACAAUAUUCGUAAGUAGUCAAUAGAUUAUAAAGUUGUCCUUGUUACUAGAGUAUUUUAUUCUAUAGUAGUACUUGAAUAAGCAUUGAUGCACGUAGGUGUAGAAAUGAAAAGACAAUUGAAUCCAAAAAUUGGCAAGGUUCUUGUGGUUUUGUCAAGUGUCUCCAGACAGAUAAGGCCGCAAAAUAGGUGGACAAUUGGGGUUGAUAGAGAAUCCGACCAAACUAUCACAUCAUUUCUUACCUAUACACACACACACACACUUCAUUUCUCCCUCCCAAUCAUCAAUGCCAAUACAACCACCACUCUACUUGUGACACUAAAAAAUCUCUAGUGAACUACUAAAAUUAUCAUGUGACAGGUUUGGAAGGCAAGAAACUCAAUCAACUUAUUUGUUAAUUCAAUGAAAAUGUAAAUUAAGACAUUCUUUGAUUUUCAAAUAUAUGAAAAUAAUUAAUUUGCUAAUAAUAGAGAUAUAAUUGUGGCAUAAAAUGACGGGUUGUUAUAUUUGUAGAUGCUAGCUUAUAAAAGAAAAAAAAGAUGACAAACAUUGAAAUGAUAAUGGCCGUGGAUAGUCAUGAAAAUUUGCUUCAAGUCUUUGAUGGUCCUAUUCAAUUGGUUGAGAAGACUAUCACCGCUAAAACAGGGACAAUUCACUUACCGUUGCAGUGAAUUCACUUACCAUUAGAAAAUGCUAUGAAAAAUGGAUAGUCAAAGGUGCAAAUUUUGUCUAAUGGAAAAAUUGUGGUGGAUUUGAUAUUGACAAGGAUUGUAGCUUCGUGGAAGAUAAAGUCCGCUUGUAAGAAUAUUUGGAAGUUUAUGAUUUUUUAAAAAAAUUUAAAUGUUAUACAUAUUCCUAAAUCUUAAAAUAUGAUAGCACUUAAUCUAGCCAACUUUUCUAGUUCAUGUUUAUAUAAGGUUGUUUUGAUUUCUCCGUUCACUAAUUGGAUUGUAAACCACAUCUUUUAACUCACAUCUAGAGACUUCCAUCUUCUGUAUUUCCUAUAGGUAAAGACAGUGAAGUGCAGUGGCGGAGUCGAAAUUUUUAUUAAGAAGGAUCAUAAGUAUAUAUACAAGUUAAUCGAAUGGGAUUCAUCAUCUACUAUAUAUAUACGUAAAAUAUAAUUUUAACUAUAUAUAAAUAAAAUAAUUUUCUGCGAAAGGAAGUUGGGAUGAACCCGCUGACCUAAGGGUAGCUCCGCCCUUGCUGAGGUGCACUCAAAGUCUUAUUACCCCCAUCUUAUCUAAGACAAAGUUGCAUCCGACCUACUUUAGUCUCAGAUAAGGCGCAAAUUGAAUUGAAUAGAUUGGACUGUGCCUCCCCACAUAAAGAGCUUUGGGCUCUUCACGAGAGAGCAUCAGGUGAUCAUAGGAUUAAUUAAUGGACAUUUAAGUACAUUCUACUUAUUAUUACUUGCUUCGUUCUUAAAUAAGUGUUCCUUUUGUCUUUUAAUUUUAUUCCUAAAUAAGUGUUUGUUUAAGUCUUUAAGAAUAAAUUAUAUGUUCUUUCAAAUUUGCUCUUAUUUAGAUACAAUGUAAUUAAUGUCAAUUUAGAAAGAAAUAAAUUUAAUCAGAGGUAAGUUCGUAAAACUAUAUUUUAUUUUCUAGAAGUUAGUAAUUUAUUAAAUAGUAUGCCCAACCCAAAAAGAACAUUUCCCUUGGGAAGAAAGAAGUAGUUUAAUAUCACAACAUUUAGAAAUCUUUUUUACUUUCUUAAACUCUGUCUCAAGUCAAAAUAAUACAUAAAUUUUCUCAUAAUUAAUUCAUGUAUUACUAAUACCUGCAUAAAUCUAAUCAACUGCUAAACGAUUCCUAAAAGACUAUAAGCUCUCCACUUUGCUUCCUUAUUACUCUCUCUCUCCGAAUUACUUUACUUGACGUUCUUCCAAAAAAUAAAUGGUCCAAAAUAGUCGUCAUUUCAUAAAUUCAAGAUAUAUACUUCAGUAAAUUUUUUCAUUUUGCGCUUAGUAAUAAGACAAAAUAGAUCGAUGGAUCCUUGUACUAUGUCUAUUUUGUAAUGUGGAUACUCCUACUUAUACAUUUGUCAUCUGAACCCCUCAACUCGUCAAAACAAAAUAUUUUGAACCACUCUGACCGUUGACCAAGUCUAUAUGGCACAAAUCGGCCAUAGGACAGAGUGCGUGAUUACACACACAUGGGGUACGAGUGAGGGUUAUUUUUUGGUCAAUUUUAUAUUAAAAAAAAAUAAAAAAAAUUGAAAGAACCCCCACCUCCCCUUUUCUCCUCUAUUCCUCAUCUUCACCUCCUUUUCCUACAACAAAUUUCCUAUUUUGACUCUUAGAAUUCCAAAAUCAUCUAAAGUUUCAACCUUUCACAAACAGGAUUUGAAACCCAACUCCAAAAUCAAAUAGAGUUUCAACCUUUUGAUAAACAAGAUUCAAAACCCAGCUCCAAAAUCAUCUAAGGUUUCAACCUUUCACAAACAAAAUUCGAAACUCAAUUUCAAAAUCAUAUAAAGUUUCAAUCUUUACACUCAAGAUUCAAACCCACUUCACAGAAUCAUGUAAAUCAACCAAAAUUCACAGAAAAGAGCCUAAGAAUUUUAAAAUUCAAAAAAUCCAAAUAGAGUUCCACUACUACAUUAAGAGUAAUUUUUCAAAACCCAAUUCAAGAAUCGUGUAAUCCUACAGAAUUUUGGAAAUUGGAGAAACCCCAGAUGAAGUUUCACUAAUUCAUUACAAUCCCUUAAACAAAAACCAAAAAUCUUGAUUGUUUCCUGGUGCAGGGAUGGGGGGUUAGCAAUUUCUGGCGAGCUGUCACCGGAGUCGACAACAGGGGGUCGUUUGGUCGUCGGUUAAGAUGGCUUUUCCGGUGAUAUUUCGACGAAAAAUUUGAGUGGUCUAGACUACUGUUUCUUCCUCUUUUUCACUCUAUUUUUCUCACUAUUUUCUUUGAUUAACACUCUUUUCCAAUUACUCUUUCUCUAUUUUUCUUUGACCAACUCUUUUUCUUUCACUCAAUUCCCCUUUCUCCGUUCUGUUUCUCUCUUGAUUUCUCUAAUUUUUCUCUGUUUUCUGUGAAUGUGUGUGUAGCAGCUUAUGUGUGUGUGGUGUGUAUUGUAUUGUGUUCUGUGUGUGGUGUCUAUGGAGGAUCGUGUGAUGGUGAAUUUGGCUGACGAAGCUGUUCCGGUGAACAUAAAUCGAUUGGGGCAAUUGAAUUUGACUAGAAAUGAUCUGGAAAAGCUCAAUUUCACAAAAGCUCAAUCAAAUGGUCCCAAGUCUGAUUUCAAUUUGAACAGAGAGUGGAGAGAUAGAGAAGAGAAAAGAUGGAGAAGAGAGAGCCUUUUAAUUUUUAUCUUUUCUUUAAUUUUUAAUUUUUAUUUUUUUAAUAUUUAAUUUCUUAUGUGGCAUUUUUAAAAUGAUGUAAAAUUUAAUGUAGUAUUUAAAAUGAUGUAGAAGCUGACGUGGGGCGAGUGUGCUACACUCACCAACAAAGUGUUUAAAAUAUUACUUUUUAGUGGGUUUAAGGGUUCAGAUGACAAACAUGUAAGUAAGAAUAUCCAUAUUAUAAAACAAACAUAGUACAAGGGUCCAUCGAGUCAUUCUGCCUAGUAAUAAUUAUUGUUGACAAUAAUAAACACCAACUAAUUAGCAUAAAAAAACCUAACUGAAAAAUAUAUACACAUAUUUCACUACUGUGAUUGCUUAGAUUAGCUUUCCUUUUUAUUUAUUAAAGAGAGAUUAACAUUUUAAAAUGAUUAAAGAUAAUAAAUAAGAGUAUAAUAGUCAAAACAUAUAAGACUUGUUUGGCAUAUGGGAUAAGUGAUAGCUAAUUUCAGAAUUAAUUUUAAAAUGAGCUUAUUAUUUGAUUGAAAUAAAAUAAAUGAGAUAACUAAUCUCAAGAUUCGAAAUUAUAAGGUUAUUUUUAUUCUACCUUAAGAAUAAAAUAAUAAAUUUUAAAAUACCUUAUUUUCCAAUCAAAUAAUUUGAUCAGUAGCAUGUAACGUGACAAGUAAAAAAAUGCAAAGAAAAUAUAGCGUUGAAUGAGUAAGAAAAUGGAGAGGCGAAAUUUGAAAAGGACAAAGCCGCAAGAUGGAAAAUACUUAAAUGUAGUGGGGAAGAGGGAGAAGGGAGAAGGGAGAAGGGAGAAAAAAGUGAGAAAAUCUGGCUACUCUUUGAUACAAAUACAAUCCCAGAUUACGCGCAUCUCCUCUCCUCCCUCGUUCCCCAUUUUGAACAUUCUCAUUUCGCCUUCCACUUUUCCUCUUUUUGUUUUUCUCUCUGUCUUCCCUCUUUCUAUUUGUGUCUGUAUAUAUAUAUACACACACAUACACACACAAACUCUCAACCAACAGCACUAACACACAUACACACAAAAUCUCUCUCUCUUUCUGACUCUGACUCUGACUAGCCUUCCCUCCUCUCCUUUUCAUUCUCUUUUUUUUUUUUUAUCGUUUUCCGCCGCACAGGCGCAGAUCGUCUCCCUGUUUCUUCCUUGUCGAUCUGUACGGGUCGAUGCGGCUACCUCUGAUUGAUUGACUUCAAUUCUACUCUGUUGUUUUUUUAUAAGCUGCUGAGUUGUCUGUCAUGGGCCAGUGUUAUGGUAAAACUGUCCCUACAGUCCGCGAUUCUGAUGGAGCAGUCGUCACAGCUGUUGGGAAUACUGGUGAAGACGCCGAUCAGCCUUUGCCACAGACGCCUGUUAACAACAACAACAACAACAACAACAGCAGCAAUUUUCCGUCUGUUAAAAAUACUCCUGCUCGAUCCUCUGCUAAUAGUCCUUGGCCGAGUCCGUAUCCGCACGGUGGUGCGGGUGUGACUCCGUCUCCUGCUAGGUCUACUCCCAGAAGGUUCUUCAAGCGCCCUUUUCCUCCGCCGUCUCCGGCCAAGCACAUCAAAGCGUCGCUUGCUCGGCGAUUUGGCCAUGCGAAGCCGCCUACGGAAGGGCCAAUUCCCGAGGAUGUUACAGCAGAGACUGAUCAGUCGUUGGAUAAGAAUUUUGGAUACACCAAGAAUUUCGGAGCCAAGUUUGAGUUGGGGAAAGAGAUCGGCCGUGGCCAUUUUGGUCAUACAUGUCACGCAAAGGGCAAGAAAGGUGAACUUAGGGACGUACCGGUUGCUGUCAAAAUCAUCUCUAAAGCUAAGGUAGUCUUUUCCAUUUGUCUUUUUCUUUCUGUUUGAAAGCAUUGGACUUGUCAAUUACGUACAAGCAGAUACUGCUACAUUGUUUUUAUGUCUAAUCUUUUUGCUGUGUUUGGCUAUUUUGAGCUUACAAGAAAACAAAUUCAGUUCAGAAUAGAACUGAAUGGGACAAUUUUGUAUAUCUGGGGUAAGAUUUAGUGUCUAAUUGUCUGUUUUUCCUUUUGCUGGUCUCAUUCCUUAUGAGAUUUCGUUUAGAGGGUAACUUCGAUUAUUUUUAAAGAGAUUUCGUUGAAAUCUGCAACAGCAGAUCCCCUUCCACAUGUGCUUCUAUGUUUAAUUUUGGAGUUGCAGAGAAAUAAAUGUGGAAAUGUUGAAGACGACGAAGCGCGUUCAGUACUGAUUUCUUGUUUGGUUUUCAUUUUCAUUGAAAUGAAUGCCAUCAUUCAAUUGAGGAAUUUGCCCCCUUUUAAAUUCUAUAAGCCACUAUUUUGCUGAUACUGUGGAUAAUAUGUUAGUCCAACCAAAUUUGAACUGAGAUCAUUUUGUGGCUGAAAAAUCUUUAUUUUGACUGAAAAAUUAAAAAUAAUUUUGUGUAUGUUCUGUUGAUCACAAUUUGUUGGAGUUUCCUCCGAGCUGCAUAUACUUUGUGUACCAAGCUAAGUUGUUCGGAGUCUUCGCUUUCAGUGCCCCACUGGUGUCAACACGACAUGGGUGUGGAUGUAGAGUCUGUAUCGGAUUUGGUCAAUCAAUUUUGAAUACUUUGACAAAAUCAAGGGAGAAAUUCGGGACAAAUACAAUGAUUACAAUGAUUUUUGUUGUGAAAACAAAAGUUAAGGUGAAAUAGAAGAAAGUUGAGAACCUUGUAUAUAGGAAUUUAUGGGUCAGUCAUUUUCCUUAUAUCAUCUUGUGUGAUUCUCCUCUUCUCCUCUUGAUCAAUAUUAGUUUCCUCAUAAUGCCUUGUAAGUUUUCCACAUAACCUCUCAAAAUUGACAUAUAAUGAUAUAACUCUACUUUUAGAUGUUUGAAUUUUUCUUGGCAGAAUAACUGCACUCGUAUUCGUAGCUGGUUUCGUACCCCCCGAAUUAUAAAGUUUAGGUCAUGAAGGAUCAGACUUCUAGAUCCGUACUCGUAUCGGAAACCCGCACCCCCGUCCGAGCAACUUACCCAGGAUAGUCAAACUGAUUUUAGUAACCUAGAAUCAAGACCAGGAUAGACAAACUGAUUUUAGUAACCUAGAAUCAACAAGAUUUUCUGUGGUAGAAUCUGGAAAUGGAAAAGCAAAAAUGAGUGUGUUUUCUGGAAAUGGUAACUAAAAGAGGUUUUGCAUUAUAGGUCCUGGUAUUCAUAUUAACUUUAGCUUGCCUAUGAUAUGAUUUUGUUUUUGGGUUGAUCUUGCAACGGUAUCAAUGGGAGCCAACUAUGUUUGAGCACCCAAGGGUACGGGCUAGUCAAUCAAGUGUUCAGAGCGAGAUCUCAAGUUCUAAUCCCUUCGUAGACAAAUACUUUAGGUGAUUUCUUCCCAUCUGUUUUAACCUUAUGGACAGAGUUACCUUUUACAUGUCGCUAGUGGGAGAUGCAAGGUAUACCAUGGAAUUAGUCGAGGUGCGUGAAAGCUGGUCUGGACAUCACGAUCAUAAAAAAACUAUGUUUGAAUUUGAAAGAAUGAGUAUCAUACUGUUGAACCUAAAGAUUAGUUAAUGUAUUUCCCAAUUUUCUUACUCAUAAAUUAUUGCUUCUCUUCAUAUUUGGUAAGCUUUAUGAAUUUUUUGUCAUGGGCGUAAUAUAUGUGCAGGCUAUACUGAUUUGAGUAAAAAUGCUCAUGUUUCCCAUCCUAUCCUUGAAUUCGUUCGCAUUACCCAAGUCUUUCUUGAUCAUUCAGCAAAUAGAAAAUGUGUUUCCUUGUUUUGUAUAGAAGAGGAGUGUAUUUGACAAGCUUCACCGAGUCUUCUCAAAAAUGAAAUACUAAUUUGUGGGAGCUUUUGACCUGAAGGAUGUGCUUACAAUACGGUGGAGAUCUCGACCAGAAUUCAAACCAUACUUUUAAGACACUGUGUGCAUCAACUCGAAUUUGAAGAAGGCAACUCAUCAGUGCUACUUCAAGUCACGAGACUAGUGUCACCCAAAUGACAUUAUGAGACUCUGACAUGUCUCAAGUUUGUGCCAUGUUUAUGGCCAAAGAAGAUAUUGGUGGAAAUAGUGACGUUUUGGUGGUUAAACUAUGCUUACCCGUACCUUAUUAUUAACAAUGAAUAAUAUGGUUGAAUGUAUGUAUCCCGUAUAGGUUCCAAGGGGCUUCUCAAUUUCAUCUAUCAAAGGACUUUAUGGUUUUGCAACUUGUUAAGUUUUGGAUGAAUAAACAAAAACCAAUGUUUUUCUUGAAAAGGCUAGAGGUUAAAGGUUGAUUUAUCAUAGAGCUCUGUCUUUGCUUAAUAUGGGUCAAUAUAUAUUACGAUCAUUGUGGGAAUAGUUUGCUAAUUUUUUUGAAUGUUUGAAAAAGGGUGAUAAUGAGGUUGACUAUACCAUGGGUAUCAUCCUUAAAAUAGGGAUACCAAAUUGAGGUGCUGGGUGGUUUUAAUUGCAUCACUUGUUAUGAACUCGAAAGGGUCAAUGGGUGUCAUAUUUGAGGCUUUGUUGAAGAACUAGCCUCAAUGACUUUAAACCUAGCCUACCACAUCAUCAACGAAUAGAAUUUGCACCGCUUCAUCACAUACCUAUGCUUAAAUUACCCCUAGGAUAGUGGUCCUUUUAAUACUACUCCAUUUCAAAAAGAAUGAAGGGGUUCGGUGUAUGAGGGUGAAACCUUCUAACUUUCUGUUUCUAUUCAUAUAUCAACUUUGUGAUCUUUUUCUCAUAAAAUUUAGAUACUUAGAAACCAAAUAAAGAGUAUGGUAAGUAUUAACUAAAAUAUUAAAUAAAAUAUGCAAAAUUGUUGUCAAGAAAAAGUUUAUAAAUACUGAAAUAGGUAUUAUAUUAUUAUGUCAUAUAAAGUGGAGGUAGUGGUAUGGACGGCGUAAUUUCUACCCAUCCCAGACCCCACUAUGUGGAAAUAUACUGGAUAUGUUGUUGUAUAGAAAGUGGAGCAAAAAGAGUAAGUUAGAAUACUAGAAAUUAUUGGUCCAUACUUCCCUUUAUGUUUUGGUGGCUAUAUUUUUGUGAAAGAAUGCUAACAAGGCAUUUAAUUGAACUAUAUUGGAGUCCCACAGCUAAUGAUUAUAGGUUACUUGGUCUCCUUAUAUGGUCUUGGAUAAUCCUCCCCUUAUAAGCUAGGUCUUGGGGUUGAGUUAGGUUCAUGGUCUAUUUCUUUAUUAUGGUAUCAGAGCAGGAUUCAUAUCGAUUCUCAUUCCUGAUGUUAGGCCUCCAUAUUAAAUUGUUCAUACACUAGAUUCUAACCCUUGGCAUUAGGCUCUUUAAGGGAUGGGUGGUCUCUUUAAUAUGGUUUGGACAAUCCUCACCUCUUGAGCUAGAUUUUGGGGUUGAGUUAGGACCUAAGUCUCUUUCUUUAUCAUGGUAUCAAAUUCAGGCCAAGCUCGAUUCAUUGUUUACCGAUGUUGAGCCCUCUUCCAUAUAUUAUUGAUGCUCUAGGUUUCUGGUCAUAGGUGUGUUGUUGUCCCGCAUUGGAUGGGUGUUAGUUACUUGAUCUCCUUAUAUAGUCUUAGGCCAUUCCUCCCUCAUGAGCUAGCUUUUGGGGUUGAGUUAGGUCCAAGGUCCAUUUCUUUAUCAAACUUUUUGGUCUUUCAUUUUGUAUUUCAAUUAUAUACAUUUCACCUAAGUUGCUCGAACUUUUCACUUUUGGUGCUGCACCGUGUCAACAACAUGGGUAUGGGAUCCAUACCAGAUCUGGUCAAUUGAUUUUGGGUACUUUGACCAAAAUCGAUUGAGAAGUUCGGGAUAGAUAAAACAAAAGCUAAAGUGAAAUUGAAGAAAAUAAAAUAUCUUGUAAGUAGAAAUUUCUAUUUCAAUCCUUUUCCUUUUAUUCUUGAAUUCUUCUCUUAAUCAAUAUUGUCUUCUUAGAAUACCUUGUAGUUUUCCAUAUAAUGUCUCAUUAUUUAUACAUUUUUUAUAACUUCAAUUUUAGACAUUUGAAUUACUUUUAGCUGAAUUCAUCUACUUGUAUCCGUAGUUGGAUCGGUACCCCCGAAGCUUAGAAUUUCGAUCUUAAAGGAUCUGACCUUUAGAUCCGCACCCCUAUCCGACACCCGCACUCGAAUCUGAGCAACUUAGCAUUUCACACAACUUAUUUUCAACUCUUUUUUCAUUACAACGGUGGUGUCUAGGCCAACUUGCAUACAACCCUUGAUUAUUACACGAAGUACCAGCAGCCUCCCAAAAUCACAAGAUUCGGAUAACUCUGUUUUUCGAUAAAAAGGUAUUGGGUAACUUUGUUACACCAAGGCUAAGGCAAAUGGAAAGAAGUCUACUAGUGUUUUUUGUCGGUACUGCUAAAUGAACUCUGGUCUCCGAAACUUUCAAUCACUUCAUUGAAAACUAGGGCAUACUUUUGUAUGCAACUUAUUCUCAAUUUUUUGUGACUUAACAUCAACCAUUUUAGUUGAAAUGUCUGAGUGAAUAGUUAUAUCACUAUUCUAAAGAAUCUUCUCAUGCAUAGGUAAAAUUAACCUAGCAUACAAUGUUACAUUUUUUGAUAAUCCUAUGAUCAUUCACGGUGAGGUAAAACAAGAUCUUUGAUGGUUGCUUUGUAGUGCUAGAAUCUGUUAGGCGACUCUCCCUCUGCCUAAAUUUGUUGAUGGCUCCUCGCUUUAAUUCCAGCCAUCAUGUAUGGGGUUGCCUUUUUACUUUUUUAAUGAGUUAAUUGAUUUAGCUUUUUCAGGUUAAACUUUUCUAAUAAAAGCAAUUAGUGCAUUUGGCUUACAUGUACCAUAUCAUUGUAGAAAUAUUUAGUGGUUUAACUUGUGGGCCGAUUGAAUAUGAGUCCUUACUUUCACAUGUCCUAAUUCUUGAGUGGAGCACAAAGAGAAAGCUGAUAAAUAAUGAAUACAUGAUUCCAUUAAUAAGUUGAAUGCAUCUGAAUUCGGGAGAACUAUCGAAAGCUUAGUCCAUCCAUCUACUAUUGAGUUGUUCUUAUUUUAACUUGAUAUUUCUUUAAUUAUGUUUGGAUUUAAUUGCACGUGGGUCCCAAGUAAGGGCAACUAACUAAUGAUGAAUUUGAAUCUGAACUGUGUAAAUGUUGUCCCUAUUUUACCACUUUCCUACUGUAUAAUUGAAUAUCUUGUACAUUGUGAGAGAACAGCUCCCAUUUAAAAGAAGAUAACAAAUUUGGGCAGACUAAAAGUUGUAUCCAUGCUUUUGAGGUUAUCAACUAUUAGGACUCGUCUAGUUACAGCCUUUUUUUCUCUGUCAUCGUAGCUCCAUUUUUACAUUAAGGUUGCAUGAGACAUCGUUAGUGUGUGUAUUAGUGGUUCCUAAGCAUGUGUUUUAGUAAUACAUGUGAAUGUCUGCAUGCAUGACUACUCUAAUCAUGAUGGUAAAUGAUAAUAUCUCCUCAUUCCUAAAUUGGUUGGAAUCUCUAGAAAUUGUAGUAUCCUCCUUAUUUAGAAGAGGUUUCUGAAAGAAGGGAAGUUUAUUUUAUUUACUCGGCAUUGCCAAGUUUUCCUUAAUUGGAAGAGUUUUUAAGCACUACAGAGUUUUCAUUGACUCUCUGGUAAAGAUCGGUCGGGCCAUAUUUAAUGCAAAUUGGAGGGAAUUUCCUUAAUUUAGUCAAUCUAGAGUCCUCUUACACAAAGCCGUUGCUCCUUGUUCUCUUGGAACAGGGGAGAGUUAGGUAGGUUGUUCGUAAAUAGAUUAGAUGUACAUGAAACAUAGAAGAGUGUAAGUGUCCCACCUUGAGUAAUGUAAAUCUAUGCAUUGGAAAAGGCAUAUGUAAAACACCCCAGGUGCAAGACACUUGUCUUUAGUUAUUCUCCUCCCGUAUGUCUUAUUUCUUGUAGGUUAAACUUCUCAUGAAACCGCAUGGAACAACUCAAGUAGUGAUUUUUUGGCGUCGGUUGAAUGGAUGAUCAUUGGGUACUGCUUGCUCUCCAAAAUGAAUGAUAGGUUUCGGAGUGCAAAGCUUGAAUCACCAUCUCCCAGGGUUAAUUUUGGACAUUAAUGCCUGCAUUGUUUCAAAAAGGAUUUAACUUUUCCAGAAUUGUACAAAAGUACUAUGUAAUCGCAAUUCUUAAAAAUAUAAAUUUUGAUUGAAUGGUUGAGAGAAUCGUAGUCAAAGAAAAAGAUGUUUGACUCUCCAAAUAUUAUGGUCAGUUAGGAUUCAUAUAGCCAAGUCCAACUUGUUCGGGACUGCGGUGCAGUUUGUUUAUUGACUCCCCGAAUAUUAAUGGUCAAUUGUGCCAGAGGGAGUAUAAAUUUUUGUACAUCAGAUCGCAAAUUAUAUUUCCUCGAUUACUGUAAUUCAUACAUCUGUUGACAAUUUAAAGUCUUUAGUCAAAGAAAGGAUGUUUGACUCUCAAAAUAUUAUGGUCAGUAAGGAUUCGUAUAGCCAAUUCCAACUCUUUUUGAGAUUACAUGCAUAUAUUUCUUACUUUUUUUUGCUGUAUUUAUACCUAGAUCUGCUCCAACAUUUGUAUAUAUUUAUUGAGUUUUAGGGUUAAGGUCUGCGUACCGAGGCUCUAUCGGAAACAGCCUCCAAUACAACCUCUCUACUUUGUAGGGUUAAGGUCUGCGCACGCGCUCCCCUCCCCAGAUUGCACUUGUGGAACCACCACCCUCCCAAGACCCCAUUUGUGGGAUAACACUGUAUGUUGUUGUUGAGUUUUUCUUAUCUACUGUCUUAACGUAACUGGUCUUGUUCUCCUUUUUUGUUGGUAUGUGCUACAAUGGCAAGUGGGAAAGACUUUAUUGUAAAGUUCGAAGUGGAGUAUUCAUUUUUAUUGUUUUGAAUUGCUUUGAAAUCAUUUUAGGCAAAAUGCUUGAUUGAAUUAUCUCACGAUUAAUCAUAGGCGAAUAAGAUGUUAAAAAGUGUCUUUUUCUUUUGUUGACUGAGCUAAGUCUAUCAGGUCUGAUUCCUUCAAUCCAGCAUUUUGGGAUGGACAAAAACUUCUGUUUAAUAGUUUCAUCACAUCGCUACUGUUUGAUACCCAGUUUUGGGUAAUGCUGCUUGUUACCCAGUGAUUGUUGACUUAGUGAAUAUUGUUCAAAUUUAUUUCCAGAUGACAACUGCAAUCUCCAUUGAAGAUGUACGCAGAGAGGUGAAGAUAUUGAAGGCUCUAUCAGGCCAUAAGCAUCUCGUGAAAUUUUACGAUGCUUGUGAGGAUACUAAUAAUGUGUACAUAGCAAUGGAGUAUGUGCUUUAUUUUCCAUUUGAUUGUGGCAGUUAUAAUAUUUUUCGUUUCACUUCUCAUAAUCAUUUUUUAGUAACCAAUGCCAAAUCUGGAAUUCUUUCAAGGUCUGCCAGCAUUUUGAUUUAGUAAUGAGCAGAUAAUAUUCUCCUCCCACUAUAUAGCUUUGUUCCUUAUGGUCUUUUUAACUUUUUGAAUAUGCAGGUUGUGUGAAGGAGGAGAAUUACUUGACAGAAUAUUGUCAAGGUAAAUGGAAUGCUCUUCAUAAAAUACAUAACCUUCUUUUAGUGCUUGUAGUUUGUAUUUCAAUGUUCUAUGUUUCUAUGCAGAGGCGGUAAAUACUCAGAGGAUGAUGCCAAACUAAUUAUUCUUCAAAUUCUAAAUGUAGUUGCAUUUUGCCAUCUCCAAGGUGUGGUCCACCGUGAUCUAAAGCCCGAGGUUUGUAGGAGUUAUUUUGUUCUCUAGGAAGACUGUAAUUGCUUUCUGUUUCCUUGUGGUAUUGUAGUUAACAGAUCCUUUUCAAUUGCUGGCAUCACAGAAUUUCCUUUUUACUUCCCGAAGUGAAGAUGCUGAUAUGAAGCUUAUUGAUUUCGGGCUUUCUGACUUUAUAAGACCAGGUAACUUUAUUAAAACGCUUUCUUAAAAUCUGUAUAAGCUACUAUACCCACCAGUCUGAAGCAGGCAGUGAUACUAACACUCAUUUUCUCCGUUGAAAGAAUCUGUUCCAAGUUAUUGAUGCCAUUUUUGCAAUGAGCAGUGGUUGUUACGUGUGAUUUAUGAUUGAAAUUUUAACAUGCUUGGAGGAUUGAAAGGACACAUUAUUGCCUCUGGGUCAUGUGGGUCAACUAGGCUUCUGUAUGCUAUGUAUGUUUGAUGAUUUCUACUAGUUUACCUAGUUAAGUAUGGCUUUGAAAUCACACAAGUCAGUAGCACUUGACAUUUGUGGAGGCAAUUCAAACAGCUAACUGCAACUAGUUUGGCAUUGAGCCACGGCUAUAGUAGUUCUUUUUUCACUAUAAGUUAAAGAAACUCUUUUUGCCUCAACUAUAGAUUGGUUGGUUACCCACAGACCUUUUAACUCCCUUUUUUUAGUAUGUGGUUAAUCUAGAAGUUUUCAUAGUCCGUAUUAUUUUCAAUGGACCCAUGCUUUGAUCAACCCAGAAGUUUAUUUUUAUUUGACCUCCUCUAUAUUUGGGGUUUUGCAGAAGAAAGACUUAAUGAUAUUGUCGGAAGCGCAUACUAUGUGGCACCAGAAGUUCUCCACAGGUCUUACAGUUUGGAAGCGGAUAUAUGGAGUAUUGGGGUGAUUACCUACAUUUUGUUAUGUGGAAGCAGACCGUUCUGGGCAAGGACUGAGUCUGGGAUUUUUCGCGCAGUAUUGAGAGCUGACCCUAACUUUGAAGACUUACCUUGGCCUUCUGUGACCCCUGAGGCCAAGGACUUCGUAAAGAGGCUUUUAAACAAAGACUAUCGUAAGAGGAUGACUGCUGCUCAAGCUUUGAGUAAGUUUAUCACUCCUUCACAAUGUGUUUAGAGGCAACCAUUAUCACUUCUCAGCUUGUUAGUUUUCUUCAUGAAAGUUUCAACCUGGUUUUAGGUCAGCUUGACCGAAUCAAAUGGUUAGCACUGUACAAUGCGUUUAGAGGCAACCAUUGUCUAUAUAGGGGAUUGGAUCAGAUAAAUUAUACUCCUAACACUAUAUGCCUGAUUUAUGAUGUACCUUUUAAUUUCAAUUCCAUAGGAUGGUCAUGAUGAUAUAUGGUGAAAAACUUUUCUUCAGGUGUGCUUGCUGUAUGUUUUAAGCUGUUUCCAAACUGAAAGUGUGGUGGGGGUGUCGGUGGAAGUGGUGCUAUUAUUUCUUACUUUUAUUAUUUUUGCCUACUACAUAUUUUAUCGAAAUUUUCAUGGGCAUUUGUUAUGCCCAUGCGCACAGUUUCUUUGUAAUAUAAAAUAAUACCAUUUUUUUCCAAUUACAGCGCAUCCAUGGUUGCGCAGUGAAAGCCAUCCUAUUCCUUUGGAUAUAUUGGUCUAUAAGUUGGUGAAGUCAUAUCUGCAUGCUACACCUCUCAAACGGGCAGCACUAAAGGUAUGAUGUUUUCUUUUUCUCUGUUUUUCCUUGCCCUCGUUUGACUGUUAUAGCAUGGCAGCUAUUAAUUGCAAACGCAUCUUGUAAUUGAACUCUAUUCUUGAAUGAAGAAAAUAGAGGUAUUCAUCUGGAACUACUGCUAGAAUAAUUUUGACCGAAUAUAGAAGAUUUUUGUUUUGUGGGAGUCAGGUUUAGAAGGUCAACUUACUGUGAUUACUGAAACUUUUGGUAGUCCAGGAGAGCAAACGGAUGACUAAAUGUUAUAGAAAUCAAGGAACUAGGAAGGGGUAAAAUUUAAAGAACUGUGUAGGAGUAGUAGUACAUGUAAAAUGGAAAAUAAAUAAUUAGAAAUUUCAAAAUAAAAAUAAUGUAUUUGUAAAAUCAAAUCAGAUCCUGAAAAAUAUGAUAAUACAGUUGGCAUGAUGGGUCAAACUCUCUCCCUAUUUAUCCAAGUUAUUAUCUUAUAUUACUACACGUUCUACUUUUGGCUCUCAUUCAAACAAGAUAGCUUUCCACCCGCAAGUCUACAGUUAGAUUCACUUCAACAUCUUUCAUCUUCAAGUGUGUCCAACUUUCCUCCUUGUAUAGUAGAUUCCUGUGUUCUAAGCAUCUCGUGAAUAAUAUGAGUGGGUCUUCGUGACAACAUAUAAUAUGUUACCUAUCAACUCUUGCAUUGCUUUUGCUUUAGAGUUUUUCUCAUUAACACUUGAUAGAAAAUGAAGACUCCGUUCUAGCAAUAUGUUUGAUUAUUGCUUAUAGAUUUUGGAUGAAACGGUUUCUUCUCACCUUUAAUCCGUUUCAUGGUUUACCCUGUUAUAAUAAUAAUAAUCUUUCCAGUGAUUUAUGAUAUGGUAGUGUCUUUUAUUUGAUGAAUUUCUUUCUUGUGGUGCUGUUCUUCAUGGUUGGAUUGCUCUUCUGAUGUGCAAAUUUUACUUCGAUGAAAGUAUGAUCAGAAUAUACUUCAGUGUAACAAUAUGCUAAGUUCUGAAAUACUGUUGCGGCUUUAUGCGUUCAGGCUCUUUCUAAAGCUUUGACGGAAGAUGAACUGGUUUACCUAAGAGCUCAAUUUAUGCUUCUGGAACCUAGUGAAGAUGGUCGUGUCUCUCUUGAAAACUUCAGAUUGGUUAGUACUUCUCUGUUCAUCUGUUUCUAAAUAAAUUAAUAGAAUAAGACAUUUAAGACUGAACUAUUCAAACAUGAUAGAAGAAAUGUCAGUUUCUCUUUAGCCAUGACUGUCCAUUGUGAAAUUAGAGUUACAAAGUGCUUUGAAACUGCAGGCUCUUUUAGGAAAUGCUACUGAUGCUAUUAAGGAGUCAAGGGUGCCCGAUAUUCUGAAUGCGGUAAGAUGCAUCUGAUCUUUAAAAUCUGUGAAACGUCAAGUUUAAACUAUUUUCUGCAGUAGAUGUGAGUUUGAUGUAGCCUGGUUUCAUCUCCGAAUAAUGUAGCAUGUGAUCCAGCAAUUUUAUUAUUGAAGUCUAGCUUCCUUAGAUGUCUUUGUCUUCUAACCCAUUCAGAAUGAUUUUUCUUUUGCAAUGCUGAAAUACACACAUACCAUUUACGUCUUCUAUCAUUAUGUGAAGCUUAUUGUCCCUUUUACCUUUCAGAUGGCAACAUUGUCAUACCGGAGGUUGGAUUUUGAAGAGUUUUGUGCGGCUGCAAUCAGCACAUAUCAAUUGGAAGCCCUCGAGGGCUGGGAGCAGAUUGCAUCAGUGGCAUUUGAACAUUUUGAGCAAGAGGGAAAUCGGCAUAUUUCAGUGGAGGAAUUGGCUAGGGUAUCUUUCUAUUACUAUACCUGUUAGUAUUCCUCAGUUCAACAAAUUCUUGUUUGAGAAAAUUCUGAAUUUUGUUCGUAACUGUGCAGGAGUUGAAUGUAGGACCAACUGCUCAUUCCAUUCUCAGAGAUUGGAUAAGAAGUGAUGGGAAACUCAGUUUGCUUGGAUAUACCAAAUUUUUGCAUGGUGUGACUCUUCGGAGUGCACAUAUGAGACAUCAUUAGCAUGCUUAACUUACUCUUUUGGAUAGUGUUUGGCAAAAUGAUAGAAACUGUUGAUUAAAAAAAAAAAAAAGAAAGAAUACAUUGAUGAUAUGAAGAUAUUUUUUCUUACUUUCCUGUUCUCCUUUUCAAGUUGGAUUUGGUGGCAGGCGAGAUCAACAGUGUACGAGUAUAGUUUAGCAGAAUUGCAAGUCAUCCUAAGUCACAGUCGGACGAACCACCUCUGCAAUUAUUACCAUAGCAACUACUACCACCAUCACCACCACCUCAAACACCUCCAACAUUAAAGUGGACAUCUCUGCAAACCACUACCACCAUCAAACACCGUUACAUACCAUGAUGACCUUGGCAAGUUUCCUUAAUUAGUUCAUUGAGGAGUGUGUGGGUCAUGGAAUUCUUUGAUUUGAACUCAGUUUUGUUACUGGCACAGAAACUUUUACAUAAGUCGAGGCGUAGACGACUGCACCUUAUGUAUGGGAGUAUGUAAUUUUGCAUGAGUUGCAUCAGCAUACUUAACAGUCUGCGCAAAAAAGAAAAGGAGCACAGUGUGAUGUGGAAAAUCAGAAUUUCUGACUUCAUGUUUCCUGUAAUAUACUCUUUUCUUUCUUUCUAGUGAUAAUAUCUGCAGGAAUACUAAUCCCGAGAUAAGAGAUUCGCACCAUUAUCAUGUUGUUUGUUGUUAAAUAUUUUAUCUCAAAUGUAAUUAUCAGUACACUAGUAAACUGGUAGUUGUGUAGUGGGCUCUAGAGACAGUUGUGCCCGUAACGUGCUGGUUGAUGAUAGUGAUUGUGCUCUUAGGCUAAAGUUAGAUUGUUGUAUGGUUAUAAGAGAGUGAUUGUGCUCUUAGGCUAAAUUAGAUUGUUGUAUGGUUAUAAGAGAGAAACCUACUUUUAAGUCCCUUAUAUAUCUAAUGAUGACAUUAGGACAUUGUAUUUUUAUUUUUAGCAGCACUUAGGACAUUGUACCAGUGGUUAUGAUUAAUGAAAAAAAUGUUGUUAAUAUGGUACAGACAAACAUAGCUCAAGUAGUUGCUGAAUGGUACUCCCACUGUUUUAGCUUAAUGAUAGUAUGCACUUAAAUUUUUAGUUCUUAAAGGUGACACUUGUAAAUUUGAAAACAAUUAGCUUUAUACAUUUUAUUUUAUCUUCAAUGAGAAAUAUAUGUAACAAUACAAAUGCUAUGAUCUUUUUAAGAUUAUGAAUUCAAAGAAACGACCCACACCAAUUAAAACAAUAGUAUCAUAUAAAUUGAAAAAAAUUUAUUACUAUUUCUCAACUUGUUGUUUUCUUAUUUUUUUUUCGUCAUUUAGUUAUGAAAAAAAUUGAAACUUAAUGCGUUAUGUUACCUUUUAAACACGGCUGUGGCUACCGCUUGCCGUCCACCAAAACCCAAUGGACCCCAUUGAAACAACGACCCUCCUCCUGUUUGCUUUAAAUAUUUCAACAACUUGCUUUGAUUUUUAUUAAAUAAAAUUUGAUUUAAAACACUAAAAAGAGCAAAACAUUUAAGUUCCUAAAAAGAUUGAAGGAGGUCGUUUUCUUGAUGUUUUAUUAAACAUGCCAACAUGCUUCACAUCACUUCUCUAAGUUCUAGCUCAUGUUAGGCAGAAAUGUCUUCAUUUAAGUUGACACUGAUUUAAAAUUAAAAACAGAUUAUUUAAUUUUAUUAUUUUAAAAAAUUUGUAUAGUCCUAUGAAUUUUGACAAUUCUUGAUACCCUACAAAGUCAUUUUCUAGUCGAUACCCCAAAAAUUUGCUUAAUAUAAAUUUGAGGGAGUAUAUUAAAAUCGAAAAAACUAAAUAUAGAAAUAGAUUUUUUAAAAAUAUUUUUUUAAAAAAAAAGAAAAAACAAAUUGUAACGGAACUGGAGGAAGUUCUAGUAUUCUAGUAUCUUCGAUUAACGUCGGGUCGGUAAUAAGUGUGCUGCUUUAAAUUUGGAUGCAUUUGUUUUUUUUCAACUUGACGAUUACGUCCUUCUACAGGAAACGCAUUAUUAUCAAUUUAUUUAAUUUCACAUCAAUCCGUAUCUUUUUGUCAUGAAUUUCAUAUCAAAUUAAACUUUCGGGCAGACGGCUCAAUCAUAUUAAUGAUAUAAGAUAAAAAUUAAAUAGAGACUUUAAAUUUUUCUUAAAAUAUAUUUUUAUCAAUAAAAUCUAUAUUUUAAAUUUUGAGAUGCAAAGUUAUAACUAUUAUAGAUGAUUCUUUUGAUAAUUGUUUUUAUUAAUAUAACUAAUACAUUUAAUUUUUAUUAAGAUAUAAUUUAAAUACAUCAAAAUUCUUCUAAUAAUUAAAAGUAUUUCUUUUUAUAUAAGAAGUUUACUUUUGCUAUAAACAAUAUUUAGUAAUUUUGAAUAAAAAUUUAUAAUUUAUUUGGAAACUUUAGCGAUUUCCUUUUGUUUUUUAACCCUGCUGCGGGAUCUUGGAAUUUAAGACGUUUCUUUUAAAAGAAAAAUAACUACAACAGUUAAAAAUAUCAGCAAUGUAAAACCUUAUUAAAAUCACUAACCAAUCAUAAAAUUCAUUACUUCAUGAAAAGAAUGUUAGAUUCCAACAGGCAGCAUGAAAAUUUUGUGAAAUUAAAAAAAAAAGAGAAGGAGAACAUUGUUAUUAAAAAGAAUAAAGCAGAGAAUAGAAGCAACUAAAAUUCCACUUUACUAAUACUUUCUCGUUUCAAUUUGUAACUUAAGCACAAAAAACUUGAGACAAACAAAUUGAAACGAAGGAUGCUAACAGCAACUUCAGUGACCCCAUAACAAAAACAUCGUAAACAUAAAAUAACUUGUCGUCUUUUAUCACUAAACCGCCCCCACCGAAAGGCAAACAAAAACUACUACACUAAAAACCAAAAAAGCUAAAACCUGUCAUGCCCUAAAACAUGGGACAUGCAGAUGAUGAUGGUGGUGCUGGUGUUUAUCAAUUUUACCUUGAACACAUCGAAACUGUUCAACAUGACAAGGAAUAGUAAUUGUUCCCUUAUGAUGAAAUCCAUACACUUCCUCAGCUUCUUUGAGUAACUGAAUGAAAAGUGGAUGAUUGAAGUAAGAUACUGGAACGAUGAAUCGUUGUUGUUCUUCUUCUGCUUGCCCUACUUUUAUAGCCAAGUAACCUUUUGGUACAUGUACAUCUUUUUUCGAUUGUUUGUUUUUUGCACCUUGAUUGAUGUGGAGGUGUGGAAAGUGUAGUAUACUUUUGAUCUCUCCACCACCCAUCCUGCAAGUUGAAAACAAAUUCUACUAAUAUGCUUAAACAAAAUAAAAAUAAAAAGGAGAGAAAAGGUUUGUUUCAGAGAGAAUUAGGCCAGGGAUUAGCAGAGAUGGCGUGUUUGAAAAGGGCUAAAGAUGAAUAUCUGAGAGACCUUGGGAAGUUAAUCAUGGCUGAAUUUUUUGUGUAACAUAUAGGAGAAAAGAAAAAUAGAAUAGCUACGUAGUUAGGGGGUUUUCUAGACCCACUACAAAACUUAUAUAAUCUCUACUAUUAUUCUGAUUAUUUUAUUUCCUUUUUAAUAUAUUUUAAUAUUUAUUUUUGGUGACGUAGAGGUUUAUUUUAUUAAAUUAAUUUUAUUAAUUAUGUUUUGAAAAUAGUCAUUUAAUGUUAAAGAUAGUAUUAGAAGAAUAUAAUAAAAUAUUUUUAAUUUUGUUAAAAAUAUAAUUAAAUUAAAAUAAAUAUUUUUAAAAAGA
rnacentral:lncRNA from 1 species